rnacentral:lncRNA from 1 species
GUUAACAAUGGUAUAACAGUAAGUAAUUACUUCAUGGACAGAACAUCAAUAUAUAAAUACCCCACAUAUAAUAAGCAACAACGUAUCAAAAUACACCAAAUAAUGGGAAUUGGAGAACGCCCAUUUAUACAAACAUAUAUAAGUGGGCAAAAUCAAUACUCAUAAUAAAGACACAAAGACGACUAAAAACCUUAUUAAACUAGAUCCAGUAUGCAGCAUAACAGAAAAGGGGGUAUUUCAAGGAGUAGAACGAGAAGGUGGUGGAGAAAAGAAAGGAAUAGAGGGAACUGCAGUUGGGAUUGAGGGAAUACUUGGCAGAGGCGGCAGUCCUCUUGGCAAUGUGGUAGGAAGUGGAGGAAGCGCCCCAGGGUUUGGGAGAUUAGGGAAAGAUGGCAAUGGUGGAAAAGAGAAAGGAAUAGGGGGAACUGCAGUUGGGAUUGUGGGGACUGAGGGAAUGCUUGGCAGAGGGGGUAGUCCUGUUGGCAAUGUGGUAGGAAGUGGAGGAAGCGCCCCAGGCCAUGGGAAUGAUUGUCGGGAUGGCGUUGGGAGAUUAGGGAAAGAUGGUAAACUUUGCGGUUGAGGCUGCUGCAGAAGGUGACGAGCUGCUAGCCCAACAUCAAUGCUUGCAAAUGACAAAGCAAUCAAGAAUGCUAAAGCAAGGCAAUUGAAAGAGGCCAUUUUUGUUCAGAGAUUUCGAAACAAAUGAAGCAGAUGAAACAAAGUUCUUUAUCUGAAUAGUUGUGGGUGAAGAAAACAAAGCAUGGAUUGAGGUUUAUAUAGGCAUUGGAGCAGUGAAUAGAAAUCCCCUGCCCCUAAACAACGCCCCAUGCAUGCCCCCAAAUCAAAAUAGCGCCACAUGUUUUUUAUUUUUUCCAUUUUAAUUGUAGUUCAAUUUUUAAAUAAAAAAUUUAUAAUGAUUUGGAUGAAUUUUUAACUUAUUAUCAACGUUUUUGCUUUUGUUUUAUUUUCUAUUAAUUUUACCUAUUCUUUCAUUAAUAAAUUUAUAAUGACUUAGAAUUAAUUUAACAGAGUUUUUUUUAUAAUCGUUCUUAUAAUAAAAUUUAAAAAGGUGGGAACGAGUCCCACAGUGACAACAUGAUCCUUAAAUUUUGAGUGGUGGCAUGCCUUUAGUCAAAGGAUUAGAUAACAUCUGCUCAAUGACGACUUUCUUUUCUUUAACAUGUUCUCUUAUGACUAGAUACUUAAAGUCGAUAUGUUUACUUCGACUUUCACUUUUGUAGCUCUUAGCCAUAAAGACAGCAAUUGAAUUGUCACAAUAUAUGAAAUAAUCGAAACCUAUAAUGACUCAGCUCAAAAAACUCGAGCCUCAAACCCAAAUUAAAUCAAAAUCAUGAUUUAUUAUAUACAAUUGCAUAAAAUUAACAUAAUUUAAGUGUCAUAGUGCACAUUAAAUUAAAUUUUAUGUUUGACAUUAUAGAUUGAAACAAUAUUCAUGUGUAAAAUUUUGAGAUUUAUUUCCUUAAUUAAAGUAAUAUUUCAAAUAGAAUACUUGAACAAUCCUCCAUGUUGGAAAACUUUAUGUACAUUAGAAACGAACUAAAUAAUUAGAAUAAAUCUAAAGUAUGGCUUACCUUUAAUUUAUUCACAAUCUGACUUAAACUUUGGCCUUCAAGAUUUCACGGUCUCAAAUUAUGUCUUAAAAUUUUAAGAUCAUUUUCGGUUUGUUAGAAAAUCAAAAGUUUAGAAAGUUAGAAUUGUUGCUUGAGGCCUGAAUAUCCCUAUUAUUUAGGAUAUUCAUGUAUUUAUUAUCUCUCAAGAUUUAAUUUGUAUCAUUCGCAAUGAAAAAAUUGAAAAAAAAUCCCAUUUGAAUGGAAUUGUACUAUUAGGCUCAAGCCUCGUGUAUAUAAUCUCUUAUUUUGAGUCUUACAAGUUUAUAGUAAACCAAAUCUAUAUAAACAUCAUUUAAUAAGUGUAUCUAAAAUAUGUUUAAUAUGUGUAAUUCUUUAAAAUACAUGAAAACUUCAAAUAUAGUUUCGGUCAUUUUCAGAUUUGUCUUAUUUUAGGUUGAAAGUAUUCGAAUUUGAGGCUAAGUUUUUCAUGUCUAAUCAUUAUUGAUCUGAAUCAUUUUAGAUUUUGAUCAUUUUAAGUUCCAAUUAUUUUGUGAUCAAAUCAUUUCAAGUUUAGACAGAUUUGGGUCAAUUCGAAUUUGACUUAAUUACGUAAUUAACUUUUUUUUAUAAUAAAUUGAGCUGAAUGAAAUUUAGAUUAGAAUUUAUUUAGUGUGCCUUUGUGUUUAAGUUGAAAUUUAAACAUUUGUAUUCGAAAUACACAUGUUAAUAGAAUUUUAUUUUAAAGACAUAGGACCGAAUUGAUUUGGGAGAUAAACAUGUUAAUUUUUUAAUCCCAACCAAAAUUGUACAUAAUUCUUUUAUGUCAUAUUAAAUACAUGUAUAAAAAUUAUCAAUAAAUUAUGCCUAGUGACAACGUUAUACAAAUAUAAUUUCAUUGUUAAUACAUAUUUCUAUUUUUCUUCUACUGUCUGCAACUUUAAAUAUAAAAGGGAUUGAAAUUUUAAGAAUUGAGAUUUCUUUUCUUUGUAUUAGUGGACGUUUGAUUUUUUGUUUGAUUUUUUUUACUAGAAUUGAUGCAUAUCUUGUCAGAUUUAUCAAUAUUUUUUAAAAUUAUUUAAGAUAUGUAUAUAAAUAUAUUAAAAAUAUAAAAUGAAUGAAACUAAAUACAUUUCAAAUAUAAAAUAUUCAUUAAUAAACUUAACAAAUAAAAAUUUAUCAUUCAAAUAAAUAAAAAUUUAUUUAAUAUGAAAUUUUAUGGAUGUAGCUCAUUUUCUUAAUUAAAGAAGUUGGAAGGUUAAUGAAUAUGUUGUUUUUUUUUACAAUCGGGUGAAUGGUAAUAGCCCAAUUUUACCCGGGCCCAGUGGCAAAACCAAAACAAAACCAAAAAUAAAAAUUGUGUCCAAAAUAUAAAGAGUCCAUUUACAAUAAAUAAGCCCAAAUUACUUAAAAAUCACUACCCAAAUUGAAGACAGCGGAUCUUAUUUCCCUGGCGUUGCAGUGGAACAAAUUAAAGCUAAAAAUUAUGGCGGAUCUUAUCUUCCUAAAGUUGCAAUGGAGCAGAUUGAAGCCACCAGCCUUAUCUCCAUGAAGUUGCAGCGGAGUACACUAAAGACAACAAAUCUUAUUUCCCUGGCGUUGUAGUAGAACAAAUUAAAGAUACAAAUUAUGGCUGAUCUUAUCUGCUUGAAGUUGCAGUGGAGCAGAUUGAAGCCACUAGCCUUAUCUGCCUGAGGUUGUAGCGGAGUAGACUGAAGACAGCGAAUCUUAUUUCCUUGGCGUUGCAUUGGAACAUAUUAAAGCUACAAAUUAUGGUGGAUCUUAUCUUCCUGAAGUUGCAGUGGAGCAGAUUGAAGCCACCAGCCUUAUCUCCCUAAAGUUGCAACGGAGCAGACUGAAGACAGCGAAUCUUAUUUCCCUUACGUUGCAGUGAGACAGAUUAAAGUUACAAAUUAUGGCGAAUCUUAUCUUCCUAAAGUUGCAGUGGAGCAGAUUGAAGCCACCAGCCUUAUCUACCUGAAGUUGAAGCGGAGCAGACUGAAGACAGCGAAUCUUAUUUCCCUAACGUUGCAGUGGAAUAGAUUAAAGCUACAAAUUAUGGCGGAUCUUAUCUUCCUAAAGUUGCAAUGGAGCAGAUUGAUGCCACCAAUCCUAUCUCUCUGAAGUUGCAGUGAAGCGGAUUAAAACGACAAUUCCUAUACCCCUGAAGAUGCAGUGGGAUGGAAUAAGACUCCUUUAAGAGAAGAAGCACCAAAAAGUCAAGACUCAGCAAGAUAGGGCAAAAUUGGCCAUUUUAAAGUCUUUGCUCCAUUCUUGUUACACGACAAUGAGCAAAGAGGGGCAGCUGUAAUAGCCCAAUUUUACCCAGGCCUAGUGCUAAAACCAAAACAAAACCAAAAAUAAAAAUUGAGCCCAAAAUAUAAAGAGUCCAUUUACAAUAAAUAAGCCUAAAUUACUUAAAAACCACUACCCAAACUUUACAAGCCUAAACAACCCAUAACCUAAACUAGCAACAGAAACCCUAAUACAGCCACCGCUCCUAACCGCUGCCCUUAGGCCUGCUCUUGGCCGCCGCACGCUAGCCACCUACACGUGCGUCGCACACCUCUGACACUUGCAGAGAGAAAUCAAUGCAAAACAACUAGAAAAAAAACAAAAAAAAUAGAAAUUAAAAGUUGUAACUUCGCUAUAAAAGCCGAAAUUUCCUCUUUGUAUUUUUUCUGUUUUUACAAAUGCACACUAGAGUAAUCAAAACAAAGAGCGAAAUCAAAGAAAAGUUAGAAAUAAAAAGAAAAUAGGUUUUGAAACAAAUCAAAUUCAAAAAAAGGUGUCCUUUUCUACUUUUCUAUUUUUUAUCUUUUUUUUCCUUAUUUGCUUUUCAAAAGAAAAUAAAAAUAAAAUAAAAAAGGGAGAGGCCGAAUCGUACCUUUCCCAGUGUUUACGCUGUUGUGGAGGGGAGCCGAGGUUGUCGUCUCCGAUGAAAGAUGGCAUUUUUGGAAUCGGGAGUCGAAAAGGCCAAAAAUGGCUACUUUUUUUCUCUGGCCACCGUGUACGGCGGCACCGUCAUCGGUGACCGCGGCCGUCACAGUGCUCCGGCAAUCGGAGCUAAGCCAGAGUUUGGCCGACCAAAAAAGGGGUUGAGAGAAAUUUUUAGGGUGUUUUAGUUUUUUUUUGUGUAAAAUUAGGUAGAAUGAAAUUUUUUAAAAAAAAUUCGACUUUUAUAAACCCAUGAAACGACGUCGUUUAAGGCUAGCCUCCAUAGCCCCAAAACGACGUCGUUUUGAGCCUUAACCCAUGCGACUCGACCAGCUCCGGGGGGGAUCUGCAUGUUUUUGAUCAAUUGGAUAUUUACACCGCUGGCCCUUCCGCAUUCUUGUGCUUUUUAAUUUAUUCCUUUUGCUUAUUCAUUUAUUUUAUAAAUUUGACCCCAGAAUUUGCAGCGCAUUUCAAUCGAGUCAUUGCUCCACUGACGCUUUGAAAAAUGGACACGUGUCUGAAUUUGGGUUUUUUCCCAUUUGGUCCUUGGCCUUUUCGCGUUUUUUAUUUUAGUCCACAUUUGUUUAUUUUGUCAUAAUUUUUACUUUAAAAUUUCAUUUUUAUUAUGAUUUAGUCCCUAAUUUGUUUGAUUUCAACCAUUUUGCAAAUUUGUUGUUUAUUUAUUUAUUUUAAAAUAUUUUCAUAUAUUACUUAUUUUAAACUAUUUUAUUAUUACUUAUUUUAAGCUUUUUUUCAUAUAUUAUUAUUUUAAACUAUUUUAUACAUUAUUCAUUUUAAAUUGUUUUAUAUGGUAUUCAUUUCAAACUAUUUUAUUGUAUAUUAUUUUAAACUAUUAUAUAUUUACUUUACUUUAAAUUACUUUAUAUAUAUUUUCGAACUGUUUUAUAUUUUACUUAUGAUAAGUUUUUUCAUAUGGUUUAUUUUGAACCAUUUUCUAUAUUAUUUAUUUUAAAUUUUUUUCAUAUAUUAUUUAUUUUAAACUUUUUUGUAUUAUUUACUUUAAAUUGUUUCAUUUAUCAUUUAUUUUAAACCUUUUUAUAUUAUUUACUUUAAACUGUUUUUUACAUAUUAUUUUGUUUCGUUUUCUUUAAUUGUUAAUAUUGAUAUUAAAGUGACAUGUGUUGUGUGAUUAUUGCCAUUAUAUGUAUUAUAAUUGGUUUAUUUGUAUUUUCAUGUUAUUGUGAUUCAUUAGUGUAACAUUUUAUUUGUAAAUUAUUACACCAUGUUGUAUAUUAUCAUUCCAUCACAUUUCAUUAAAAUCAUUUCAAAGGUCGCGUUUAAUUUUUUUUUACUUUGUCCACAAAUGGCCAUUUUAUUAUAUUUCAACUAAAUAGCACGCAUCCUUUACGUUUUGUAAUCGCUAUUAUUUAAUAAAAAGAAAUUUUCAAAAAUAAGGCAAUGUUUCGUUUUUGGAAAUUCGAGAAGUCGUACCCUAACUUACGAGAUUUCGAUUUUCUCAUUAAAUUUGAAAUACCUAAGUUUUGAAUAAAAAUUUCUAAAGGUAAACUUGUUCUCGAGGGUUCAAAAUGUCGUGUCCUAACUUACCGGAUGUGACAUUUAUAUUCUUGAGACGAGAGGGUCUUUGCCAUUCGUUUCAAUUUAUUCAAACAUUUUUCUUAAAAAUUAACAUUAAUAAAGAGGGAUCGUAUUUUAAAUCCUUUUCGAGUUUUCAAUUUCUGACACUAAGACAUUAAUUAAUCAAUUAGGUACCAAAUUUGGGCGUUACGACGGUGCUAAUCAUUUCUCGUACGUAACCGACUCCCGAACCCAUUUUUUUGAAUUUCGUAGACCAAAAUUAUUAUUUUAAUAAAUUAAACUGUUACGAGGUGACUCGAUCACACCUCAUAAAAAUGAUCGGUGGCGACUCCCUUUUUCGUUUUCUUUAAAGUAAAAAGUCGACCCCGUUUUAAAAAAUGGUUUUGACAGCUUGGCGACUCUGCUGGGGACUUAAAAUAAGAGAGUCAAGCGACGAGUUGAUUACUUUUUCUCUUUUGUCGAAAAUUGAAAACUUGGUUUAAAUGUACGAUCCUUUCGUUGCAUUUCAUCCAUCUUUAUUACAAUAUUCAUCAUUGUGGUUUAAUUGUUAUGUUGGUUUAAGUUUUGGUAUCUCUCUGCACAUUGCAUCGCAUGAUCGAUCUAUUUUACCCUUUUAAGUGGGAGUGAGAAACUAUUCCUUCGUGAGGUCUUCACCUCCAUGCAGGAUAGUGGAUCACUUUCGGGAUACAUCCGUACCUAUGUCUUCGUGAGAUUUUCAUCUUCGUCCAGUCAUAGGAAAAUGUAUUCCCCUAAACUGAACUCAGUCCAUAUGAGCCUAUAAUGGCUGAGGAUCGAGGAAUCUACCGGUUUGGGUACCUUUACUUUAGAACCAAACCCCAUAUAGAGAGCCUUAAGAGUCCACCCUAGGUAGAACCGCACUGAACCCCUAGUGGUCAUCCAAAUAGGUACUCUUUUCGUUAUUUAUGUUUUUGUACUGACGUGUUUUCUUUUGUUUCAGUUAUGAUUGCAUUGCAUUUUCAUCAUAGAAAAGAGGUGUUGAUUCACAUUCAGUUGCUAAAUAGAGAGCUUGUAAUGGAUUUCUUGAUAAAGUGGAAGACAAUGCGGUCGUUCGAAUACGGUCUGAGAAAACAUAACGAGGGAAGGGUGAUAGUCUGAUGAAUGAGUACAUGACCUUGCUCCGUUGCCUCGCAGCCUAGAUCGAGCAAAAAGAAGCUAGUAGAGGCAUCCAUUGGAAAGUUCAUGAGGUUUGAUCUUAACAUCAGGAUAUGAAGAAAGGGAUCGAUAUCUUUGCCUGGAGUAUGAGGGCAAGGCCGUAUAAAUAUUCAUUUUAUGUAAAAAGAUUUAUUUUCUAAAAACGUUGUUCUAAUAGAAGUGAAUCAGAAUCAACGCCUCUUUUUUUUGCAUUCAUUGCAUUCAUGCAUUAUCAUUGCAUUACAUUGCAUUAUAUGCAUUAAAUCUCACAAAAGGACCUUAAAAUCUUGGCAGUUAUCCUGAAAUAUCAAUACACGAGGAAAAACUAAAGAAAUAGACCAAAGGUUGGAGAGAUUAGAGCAAAUGCAAAUACAGAUGCAAGAGCAAUUGGCCAAAAUUUAACAAGAUAUGAGGGAUCAGAUGCUAGAAUUCCAAAGAAAUAUGAUGAGCCAAUUAACCUAGUUGCUGGCUGGAGGGUUAGAAAAAGGAAAAAGCCCUAUGGUCAAUUUUGGGGUCGAUAACGAGGACCCUUCUUAUCCUUCAGGCUUUACCCCAACAAACACCCAAGCACAACCAAACACGUAUCCAUAAAGUGUAUCUGUUAACAUCAGACCCCAAUACUAGACCGGUACCUCGACACCGAUGAACCUCCCGACAGGUUCAGGUUCUAACUCGGGGGAUAAUUUGACCAAUCCUGUUGUCCUUGAUUUGGAUGAUCUAGUGGAAACAAAACAGACAAGAAUGGAGCUCCCAAAAUAAUUUGAAGAUCGUUACAAAUGAAAAGGAGAGAGUGGAGCUCCCAAAUCAAUACUUUAUAGGCCUCGAAGAAGUGGGAAAAUGAGGUGAAUAAUGCGAGCAUGUAUAACAAGGUCUAUUUAAAGCCGAUUACCGUAAGCCAGCCAAGGACAACAACUACUAGCCAUCAGAUCCCCCCAUGGCAAGAACCUAAUCCAAGACCGAACUCAAAAAAACUUAGGUUUACGCCCAUCCCAAUCACGUAUGGGGAGUUGUACCAAAGUUUGUUUGAUGUACAUGUAGCGUCCCCUUUCUACCUAAAACCUAUGUAGCCCCCAUACCCUAAAUUAUACAAUGCGAACGCCCAAUGUGAAUACCAUGCAGGAAUCAUAGGAUACUCAAUCGAGAACUGCACCGCUUUUAAAAAGAUAAUCGAAAGACUCAUCAAAAUGGGUAUUGUGAAAUUCGAUUAUCCAUCUAGUCUAGAAAAUUCGUUACCCAACCAUUUUGACAAAGGGGUAAACGCAAUAAUCGAGAGUGCAUGGAGGAGAAUCAAGAUAGAUGUUGCAGAAGUGAAAACCUCGCUAAGGGAGGUUUUGAAAAAAAUGGUAGAAGAAUGAUUAAUCACAUAGAAUUUAGGGGAGAAACCUGGAGAAGCAAGGAACUACUGUGAGUUCGAUGAUGAAAAGGGUCACGAGAUUUAAAAGUGCAAUGAAUUCAGAGCCUUGGUUGAAGGCCUGAUGGAUAAUAAGGAACUAGAAUUGUUUGAAUAUACUGAAGACUCGGAAGGAAUGUUCAGAAAUUGGAGCAUCAAUGCUAUAUCCGAAGAAGGAAUUGAGAGAGAAAAUUUAUCAGGCAUUUGCCCUUAUGAGCCUGGAAGUGUUCUGAAUAAUUGGAUAGUGGAAGAGAUUCUUGUAGUUUUUAGAGCUAAUUCAGAGUAGUUUUCAAAACACGCUUGUUGCUUUAAGCGUAGAAGGAAUAAGAAUCCUUUUGUAAAAUAGGCUCAUGUCCAACAUCUUUAUUUCAAUAAAAAAAUACAUUUUUGUGUCUCAUUUUGAGCAAAUAUUCUUUUAUUCCUUCAUUUUAUUCAUAUUCAUACCACAUAAAUAACUGUUCUUAGAUUCAUUUAUUCUUUACAUAUUCCUUUGUGCCUACAACAGGUCUCUAGAUAUCAAUGAUAUGAGCGACACUGUUAUUGACUCAAAACCUCAUUUUGAGCAAGAUAUGUGUCUAGAGGAACCUUAGGACUUUGAAAAUGACCGAGACUGUAGCUUAUCUCCUGAUUUGUUAAUGACGAUAGAAUAAGAUGAGAAACAGAUCCUACAUUACAAAGAAUCAAUGGAAUCCAUAUCUUUUCUCUCUGUGGGGCAUGGAUGUCAUUGGGCCAAUCUUGCCAAAAGCCUCUAACAGGCAUCGAUUCAUCUUUGUGGUCAUUGAUUACUUCACCAAGUGGGUAGAGGUUGUUUCAUAUGCCAAUGUCACCAAGUUGAUAGUCAACAAGUUCUUAAAGAAGAAGAUCAUAUGUCAGUAUGGCAUGCCAGAAAGGAUCAUAUCUGACAAUGCAUUGAAUUUGAACAACAACAUGAUAGCGGAGGUCUGUAACCAAUUCUAGAUCAAGAGCCACAACUCAUCGCCAUAUCGCCCAAAAAUGAAUGGCGCAGUGGAGGCAGCUAAUAAGAACAUUAAGAAGAUCAUAGGGAAAAUGACUGAGACCUAUAGAGAUUGGCAUGAGAAGUUACCAUUUGCCCUUUAUGCUUAUAGAAUGUCUGUCAGGACCUUUACCGAGGCAACGCCUUUCUUAUUGGCCUAUGGAAUGGAGGUAAUUUUACCCAUCGAAGUUAAGAUUCUUUCCCUUUGAGUCUUGUCAGAGCUGAAGUUGGAUGGAGUAGAAUGGAUCUAAGCUCGAUAUGAUCAGUUAAAUUUGAUUGAAGAGAAAAUGUUGAAAGUUAUUCGUCAUGGUCAAAUGUACCAAAAGUGAAUGAUGUGAGCUUACAACAAAAAGGUUCACCCUAGAGAAUUCUAUGAGGGGGACUUGGUAUUGAAUAAGAUCCUUCCCAUACAAAAAGAUUUUAGAGGAAAAUGGAUGGCAAACUAGGAAGGACCUUAUGUGGUAAAGAAGGCAUUUUCUGAAGGAGCGUUGAUAUUAACUGAGAUGGACUGUAAGAGCCUGUCUAAUCCAGUAAAUUCAGAUUCAAUCAAGAAAUACUUCAUUUAAAAAAUUAAAAAGAAAAAGAAAAAAAUAAAAAAAAGAAAAAGAAAAAGGAGAGGCCAAGGCGAAAACCUGCAAAAGGCGUCUUGAGACCAAAGGGGUUUUGAAUUGAAAACCCAGAAAAGGGCAAUUCAAAUUUUGAUCGAAAGUGGGGCAUGCGAUAGUCUUGCUAUGCCUGAAUUAACAAAGAGGGGAGAUGCUAUGUCUUGGGGCAUCAACAAAGUACUCUAGAUCUCCUAAACACAUGUUGAGCUCAAAAUGGUCCUCAAGAAGUUCGUACAGCGAAGCUCAGGCUGCAAUAUCUGAGGCACCUAUGUAAUGGCCUGAAUUUUCAGUGGUGUCGGAAUGGUGAUUCGAGAUCACUAAAUUUGAAAAAUGAGUAGAAAAUAUUAUUAAUUUAGAAAGAAUAAGUAAAUGUGAAGUUAGGAAAAUUUUUUGAAGUAGUGAAUAGUGUACUAGGAAUAAAUAUUAAAAUAAUUAAAAUAAAAAACGAGGUAUCGAGGCCUCGAAGAUUUUAAACCGAGCCAUAAGUAUUUUUAGAAAUAUUUUUCGAGUAUCAUUGAGUUGUUAUUAAAGUUUCGUUAGAAAAUUCUAACGUUCGGAUAGUUAAUUAACUAAAAAGGACUAAAUUGAAAAUAGUGUAAAAUUUGUUAAAUUGUGGUGAAAUAGCUUAAGUGAUUAAAAAUGAGGGAUUUAAAAGGAAAUUAGGCCCAGAUUAUAUGGGCUGGACGGUUGGGUAAGAAAAAUUUGGAAAAGUGAUGUAAUAAGGGUAAAAUUGGAAAUUUUGUAAAAGUUAACAAAUAAAAAAAAUCUCAAUUAAAAGAGUUUCUAGGUAAUUCUUCAUAAUUAUCAGCCAAAAAAUGCCAUUGAAGAGUCCCUCCAAGCUGGUUUUUCAUAUAUUUGAAUCAUGUAAGUUUAAUUCUUGAUUAUUUCUUCUAAUUUUUGUGGUUUUGAUACUUUUAUAAUUAGGUCCAACUAAUUGUUUCAUUAGUUAUUGAUUUUAUGGUUGAUUUUGAAAGUUAGAAUUGAUUAGUACUGAAUUUUUAUGAUUAAUAAACAUGUAAUUAAAGCUUUAAUUUUGUUAUAUGAUGAUUCUAUUAAGUAAUUUUGAUAGAAAUUGAUUUUAGGGACCUAAUUGUGAAAAAGUUGGGAAUUAGGGUUUGGUGUUGCGGUUUUGAAUAUGAAAGGCUAUGUAGUAGUCUAAAAUAGUUGGAAAAGGUGUUAAUUGAGAAAAAUUAGAUCAAUUGAGCGGUUAAUUGAGUAGGGACCAAAUUGUAAAAACUAGAAAGUUUGGGGUAAAAGUGUAAUUUCAAAAAUUUAAGGGCAUAAAUUGUGAAAUGAGUUAGAAUAGAAUUAUAUGAUGAUGAAGGAAGAAAUUUUUAUUUUAGUUCGAGAACCCGAAGCAAGCCGACGAAAAGAAAAAGUAGUUGAUUAGUCCCUGAACUUUUACAAAUUCUGCAAAUUGACCCAGGUAAGUUCAUAUGGCUGAAAUUUAAUGAUUAAAUGUUAAUUUCAUGAAUUAUAUAAUGUAUGAUGAAAUGUAUUUAGUGUUGAAAUGAGAGUAAAAUAAAAAUGCGAAAAUCGAAUAAAUGAUUAAAUUAAGCGAAACGCCGGAUUUGAGUACUUCUGAUCAAGAGAUAAAGUGAUAAGUGGUAGCUUUAGCUACACUUAUCUAAUCAAGUGAAAAAGUGAUAAGUGAUACACUUAUCUGAUCAAGAGACAAAGUGAUAAGUGGUAGCUUUAGCUACACUUAUCUGAUCAAGUGAAAAAGUGAUAAGUGCUAUACUUAUCUGAUCAAUUGAAAAAGUGAUAAGUGGUAGCUUAGCUACACUUAUCUGAUCAGGGAAAAAUGAUAAGUGAUCAUACGUAAGACCAUAGUUAUACUAUUAUGAAACUGAAGUACUCAAUUUUCCGUAACCGUUCCUUAAUUUUGAUCAAGGAUGGUAAGUGACAAAUGGGCCCAAAGGAAUUAUGGUAAAAGAAUAAAUAGUAGCGAGUUUAUACCAAGGAACUCACCAAAGAUUGUGGUUGACAGGUAAACUUAGUAAUGGUGUAUAUUGUAUAAGUGUACAAAUGUUUGGUAAGAUUUAUGUUUUAUGCCUAUGAACUUACUAAGCUUUUCUAUAAGCUUACAUGUGUGUGUUUAUUGUUUUUGUAGAUUAACGUAUUUAUACAUUUGGAGGAUCGGAUCUAGAUCGAGAAUCACACUAUGCAGAUAUACUCCGGUAGAUUUUGUUAAAUAUCUUUUUGGAUUUAUAUGGAAUGUAUAGGGAAUUGAAGUAUAAAGUAAUAGAAUGAAUGACUAAGUAUGCAAAGUAAAAUUGAAUGUGAUGGUUGUGUUAGACAUUGAAAAAUAUAUGUUUUUAGUUUGAAAUGGUUGAUUGGUUGAACUUCAUUACUAUUCAAGUGAAGUAGUUGAAAUACUGAAGUUGGUUAUGAUUUGAAAUUUGCAGGGAAGGUUUGGUAAUUAUAAAGGGGUUAUAUUGAAUUUUUUUUAAAUUUCCAAUAGAACAGUUUUUGAACAGCAGCAUUGAUGUAACUUUGAAAAAUCACAAAAAAUAGUGGAAAUAGAAUUAGAAGUUGAGUGAGAUAUGAAAUUAAAGAUGAAAGAGUCUACUUUCACAUGAAAGCAAUAGAGUAAGAAAAAGAGUUAUAUAUUUUUAUAUAUUUGAAAUUUAGUGAGAUAGGGUUAGAAUGAUUUUGAAGUUCCCUGUUCUGACUUUAGAAAUUCAUUAAAAAUUGUACAAAAGGAAUUAUGAUUUAUAAUUUAUAUCUUUAAAAUACUUAAUGAGUCUAAUUUAAUUAGAAAUAAGUGGACGCACCAUAUGAAGUAUUUAUAAUGAGAUAAUUGAAUUUUAGUGACAAGAGGGAGGAUAGUCAAUUAGUGAAAUAGGGGAGACUUCAACUAAUAAACUAUACUAAUUGGGUUGACCAAAAAUUCUUAAAAAUUUAUGGUGAAUAGAUAUAUGAGUUUAGUUUUGAUGAAAAUUUACAGAUCUAAAUUUCGAGUUUUGUAUCUUGAGUUAUAAUUAUUUUAGUGACUGCUAUGCAGGUGGACAGCUUUAUUGUGAAUGGUGAAAUUAAUUUUUUAAGUUAAAUUUUUAUGCCCCGAACUUUUAAGUUAAGUCAAGUAACACCUCAUGCUCGACUUCAGAAAUGGUCUCGGGUAAGGGGUGUUACAUUUUGUUGGUAUCAGAGCCUAGUUUAGCCAGUUCUCGGAAUGUGUGUGAAGUGUAAAGUGUUUAGAAAUACAUGCCAUAUAAAUCUGUGAUAGUGUGAUGUGUAUGAUCCGAUCUAAUCUUUGUUAUUUUUAUAGAUAUUAUCUGAUUAUAAAGAUGUCAGAUAUACUUGAAUGUACUGAGAAAGAAGAAGUCAACAGUGGAAUACAGAAUUCUGAACAAAGAACAAUCAGUGAUGUUCCGAUUUCCCAAAUGCUAGAGCAAGAACUAAACAAUAUGAUUUAUGGGAUUAUGAAUCAGUGGUAUACUGAAAUGAGGAAAGAAAGAAAUCAGGCUGAACCACCUCCUCCCCCUACUGCUCCAUCGGUGGUAGCCCCGGUUGCUCCUCUACCUCCUACAACGACUGAAUCUAGUAAGCGUUCUCUAUUGGAAAGGCUUAGAAAACUUGGAGCCGAAGAAUUUCGGGGAAGGACUGAUGAUGAUCCCGUCAAAGUUGAAUAUUGGUUACAGAGUUUGAUAAGAAUUUUUAAAGAAAUGGCUUACUCACCAGAUGAUUAUUUGAGAUGUGCUGUGUCACUGUUGAAAGAAGAAGCUUAUAGUUGGUGGGAGACGAUUGAGGCUGUGGUUCUGGCAGAGAAAAUUUCUUGGGAAUUUUUCCAAAAUGAAUUUAAGAAGAAAUAUGUGGGCAGACGGUAUUUGGAUAAAAAGAAAAGGGAAUUUCUCGACCUACGACAGGGAAAUAAAUCAGUGGCUGAAUAUGAAAGAGAAUUUGUCUACCUCAGCAAAUAUGCCCUAGACAUUGUACCUACUGAAGAAGAAAUGUGUAUCCGGUUUGAAGAAGGGUUAAAUGAUGAAAUUAGAAUGAUGAUUGGGGGUAAUGAAAUACGAGAGUUCGUUGUUCUGUCAGACCGUGCUCAAAAGCUCGAAGAAGUAUACAACAGAAAAAUGCAGCGAGAUCAGAAAAGUAAAGAGCCAUUCAAAAGAGGUGCUUCUAAGUCAUUUUCAGAUUUUCCAGUGAAGAAAUCUAGAGAAGAAAUUAGUCGAACUACAUCAGUGUCGGGGAGAUCGAGCAGAGAUAGACCAAGACAAUCUGAUUUCAGGGUAUUCGAUAGACCUGCAGCAAGUGUGAGCAGUGUUCAGAAUGCUUCUCGGCCUAAGUGUCAAUAUUGUGGAAGAUAUCAUUUCGGAGAAUGCAGGACUAAGAUGGGGGCUUGUUAUAAAUGUGGGGCCACUGAUCAUCUUAUUCAAGAUUGUCCCCGGCUGCAAAAAGAUGAAGUGGAACAGAAGGAGAUACAGAGAACCAUUCCCCAAAGAAGUAGACGUUCGGGCCAGAGCAGUGCUACAAGGACUACCCGUUCGGGUACGAGGGAACCAGUUGGCCGAUCAGAGAAUAGAGCACCAACACGUACCUACGCCAUUCGAGCAAGGGAAGAAGCUACGGCUCCUGAUGUAAUUGCUGGUACUUUCUAUCUUUAUGAUGUUAUUGUUUAUGCAUUUAUAGACCCUGGGUCUACUCAUUCAUUUAUUUGCACUAUUUUAGCAUCUGAAAAGAAAUUAUCUGUUGAGUCCCCUGAAUUUGAUAUACAAGUCACAAAUCCAUUAGGUCAAAGUGUGAUGGUUAAUUUGAUAUGUCGUAAUUGUCCACUGAAAGUGAAAGGCUAUGAAUUCCCCGCUGAUUUGAUGUUGUUACCCUUUUGGGAAUUUGACAUUAUUCUGGGAAUGGACUGGUUAAUGAAACAUAAUGCGGUAGUGAAUUGUCGUGAUAAGCAAAUCAGUUUGAAAUGUCAAAUAGGAGAUGUAAUCUCAGUUGGGUCAGAAAAUAUGGGUGAUACAGUCAGAAUUAUUUCAGCUCUCUCUGCCCAGAGAUUAUUACGCAAAGGCAACGAAGCAUUCUUGGCCUAUAUCCUUGAUACUCGGGGUUCUGAUUUAAAGCCCAAACAAGUGCCAGUGGUGAAUGAAUUUCCUGACGUGUUCCCUGAAGAGUUACCAGGUCUACCACCUGAUAGAGAAGUUGAAUUUGUAAUUGAUUUGAUCCCCGGAACAACUCCUAUAUCAAUGACACCGUACAGAAUGACUCUAGCUGAGCUAAAAGAGUUGAAGGUGCAGUUGCAGGAGUUAUUAGAUAAAGGGUUCAUCAGACCGAGUAUGUCGCCCUGGGGUGCACCUGUCUUGUUUGUGAAAAAGAAGGACAGUUCUUUAAGACUGUGUAUAGAUUACAGGCAGUUGAAUAAGGUAACAGUAAAGAAUAAAUAUCCUUUGCCUCGUAUUGAUGAUUUGUUUGAUCAGUUGAAAGGUGCUGCAGUAUUUUCCAAGAUAGAUCUUCGAUCCGUGUAUUAUUAGUUGAAAGUUAAAGAGUGUGAUGUGCCGAAAACUGCCUUCCGAACUCGAUAUGGUCAUUAUGAAUUUUUGGUGAUGCCAUUUGGUUUAACCAAUGCCCCUGCUACUUUCAUGGAUUUGAUGAAUAGAAUUUUUCAGUCAUAUUUGGAUAGAUUUGUGGCUGUGUUCAUUGAUGAUAUAUUGAUUUAUUCAAAGGCAGAGUCCGAACAUGCACAACAUCUAAGGAUUGUACUACAGACUUUGCUGGAGAAACAGUUGUAUGCGAAAUUCAGCAAAUUGAAUUUUGGCUCCAUGAAGUUGCAUUUUUGGGUCAUAUUGUAUCAGCUGAUGGAAUAAGAGUGGAUCCAAGUAAGGUAGCGGCGGUGGUAAAUUGGAAAGUUCCAAAGAAUGUUACUGAAGUGCGGUGUUUUCUAGGAUUGGCAGGUUAUUAUCGCCGAUUUGUCAAAGAUUUCUCAAUGAUUACCUUACCAUCAACUCGAUUACUACAAAAGAAUGUUGAAUUUAUAUGGUCAGAUGAAUGUCAGCGGAGUUUCAAUCAGUUGAAAAAGAUGUUGACAGAGGCUCCAGUAUUGACUCAACCAGAAUCGGGUGUACCGUUUGUAGUCUAGAGUGAUGCGUCUCUAAAUGGGUUGGGCUGUGUACUUAUGCAGUCAGGAAAAGUGGUGGCAUAUGCUUCUCGGCAACUGAAACCGCACGAGAAGAAUUAUCCUACACAUGAUUUGGAAUUGGCAGCGAUUGUGUUUGCUUUGAAGAUAUGGAGAAACUACUUAUAUGGUGAGAAAUGUUACGUGUAUACUGAUCAUAAAAGCUUGAAGUAUUUAAUGAAUCAGAAAGAGUUAAAUUUGAGACAGAGAUGAUGGUUAGAGUUGUUGAAAGAUUAUGAUCUUGUCAUUGACUAUCACCCAGGGAAAGCAAAUGUCGUAGCAGAUGCACUUAGUCGGAAAUCAUCAUUAUUUGCACUACGGGCAUUGAAUGCUCAUUUAUCUAUUAAUGAGGAUGGUUCUGUACUAGCAGAAUUAAAGGCUAAACCCGUGUUCUUUCAACGGAUUCGGGAGUUACAGGAUGAUGACCCAAAAUUGAUGAUAAAACGACAGAUGGUUCAAGAUAAGUUAAGCUCAGAAUACUCUAUUGAUGAAAAUGGUAUGUUAUAUUAUCGUAAUAGAAUAUGUGUUCCGAAUAACUUUGACUUGAAAAAUGAUAUUUUAUCAGAGGCUCACAGUAGUAUGUGUUCUAUUCACGCGGGUAGUACAAAAAUGUAUUGUGAUUUGAAGAAAAUGUAUUGGUGGCCUGGAAUGAAACGGGAAAUCUGUGAGUAUGUAGCAAGAUGUUUGAUUUGUCAACAGGUGAAAGCUGAGCAUCAAGUGCCGACAGGGUUGUUACAGCCCAUUAUGAUUCCAGAGUGGAAAUGGGAACAUGUCACGAUGGAUUUUGUAUCUGGAUUACCAGUAACUCUGAAGAAGAAAGAUUCAAUAUGAGUGAUUGUUGAUCGGUUAACUAAGUCAGUACAUUUUAUUCCAGUUAGAGCAGAUUAUCAGCUCGAAAAGUUACCGGAGUUAUAUGUGUCAGAGAUAGUGAGGUUACAUGGAGUGCCGAUAUUUAUUAUUUCAGAUCGAGAUUCGAGAUUUACCUCAAGAUUUUGGAGUAAAUUACAGGAAGCUUUGGGCACCAAAUUAAAUUUCAGCACAGCUUUUCAUCCCGAGAUAGAGGGGCAGUCAGAGCGAGUGAUUCAGAUUUUAGAAGAUAUGUUAAGGUGUUGUAUACUUGAGUUCGGCGGUAGCUGGGAAAGGUAUUUACCUUUAGCCGAAUUUGCUUAUAAGAAUAGUUAUCAAACUAGUAUUAAAAUGGCACCGUUUGAAGCUCUGUAUGGAAGAAAGUGUAGAACUCCAUUAUAUUGGUCUGAAUUAAGUGAACCGAAACUAGUGGGAGUGGACUUGAUUCGGGAAACUGAAGCAAAAGCCCGUAUUAUUUGAGAUUGUUUAAAAGCUGCCUCCGAUCGGCAAAAAUCAUAUGCAGAUUUGAAGAGAAGGGAUAUAAAGUUUAAUGUGGGUGAUCGUUUAUUCUUAAAAGUGUCACCGUGGAAGAAAGUUUUACGGUUCGGCAGAAAGGGAAAACUCAGCCCACAAUUUAUCGGGCCGUAUGAAAUCAUUGAAAGAAUCGGUCCAGUAGCUUAUAGAUUGGCUUUGCCCCCAGAGCUUGAAAAGAUUCAUGACGUGUUUUAUGUGUCUAUGUUGAGACGGUAUAGAUCAGAUCCAUCACAUGUAAUUUCUCAUACAGAAAUAGAACUCCAACCCGACAUGACUUAUUCAGAGGAACCGGUGAAAAUUUUAGCUCGGGAGGUUAAAGAGUUGAGGAAUAAAUGUGUACCACUAGUUAAAGUGUUAUGGAAUCGACAUGGGUCUGAGGAGGCAACAUGGGAAACAGGGGGAAUUGAUGAGAUCUCAGUAUCUGAAUUUUUUACAGGUACGAAAUUUCGGGGACGAAAUUUCCUGAAAGGGGGGAAGGGUUGUAAUGGCCUGAAUUUUCAGUGGUGUCGGAAUGGUGAUUCAAGAUCACUAAAUCUGACAAAUGAGUAGAAAAUAUUAUUAAUUUAGUAAGAAUAAGUAAAUGUGAAGUUAGGAAAAUUUUUGAAAUAGUGAAUAGUGUACUAGGAAUAAAUAUUAAAAUAAUUAAAAUCAAACCGAGCCAUAAGUAUUUUUAGAAAUUUUUUUGGAGUGUCAUUGAGUUGGUAUUAAAGUUUCGUUAGAAAAUUUUAACGUUCGGAUAGUUAAUUAACUAAAAAGGACUAAAUUGAAAAUAGUGUAAAAUUUGUUAAAUUGUGAUUAAAUAGCUUAAGUGACUAAAAAGGAGGGAUUUCAAAGGCAAUUAGGCCCAAAUUAUAUGGGCUGGACGGUUGGGCAAGAAAAAUCUGGAAAAGUGAUGUAAUAAGGGUAAAAUUGGAAAUUUUAUAAAAGUUAACAAAUAAAAAAAUCUCAAUUAAAAGAGUUUCUAGGUAAUUCUUCAUAAUUAUCAGCCAAAAAAUGCCAUUGAAGAGUCCCUUCAAGCGGGUUUUUCAUAUAUUUGAAUCAUGUAAGUUUAAUUCUUGAUUAUUUCUUCUAAUUUUUGUGGUUUUGAUACUUUUACAAUUAGGUCCAACUAAUUGUUUCAUUAGUUAUUGAUUUUAUGGCUGAUUUUGAAAGUUAUCAUUGAUGAGUACUGAAUUUUUAUGAUUAAUAAACAUGGAAUUAAAGCUUUAAUUUUGUUAUAUGAUGAUUCUAUUAAGUAAUUUUGAUAGAAAUUGAUUUUAGGGACCUAAUUGUGAACAAGUUGGGAAUUAGGGUUUGGUGUUGCAUUUUUGAAUAUGAAAGGCUAUGUAGUAGUCUAAAAUAGUUGUAAAAGGUGUUAAUUGAGAAAAAUUAGAUCAAUUGAGCGGUUAAUUGAGCAGGGACCAAAUUGUAAAAACUAUAAAGUUUGGGGUAAAAGUGUAAUUUCGAAAAUUUAAGGGCAUAAGUUGUGAAAUGAAUUAGAAUGGAAUUAUAUGCUGAUGAAUGAAUAAAUUUGUAUUUUAGUUCGAGAACCCAAAGCAAGUCGAGGAAAAGAAAAAGUAGUUGAUUAGUCCCUAAACUUUUACAAAUUCUGCAAAUCGACCCAGGUAAGUUCAUAUGGAUGAUAUUUAAUGAUUAAAUGUUAAUUUCAUGAAUUAUAUAAUGUAUGAUGAAAUGUAUUUAGUGUUGAAAUGAGAGUAAAAUAAAAUUGCGAAAAUCGAAUAAAUGAUCAAAUUAAGCGAAAUGCCGGAUUUGUGUACUUCUGAUCAAGAGAUAAAGUGAUAAGUGGUAGCGUUAGCUACACUUAUCUGAUCAAGUGAAAAAGUGAUAAGUGCUACACUUAUCUGAUCAAGAGACAAAUUGAUAAGUGGUAGCUUUAGCUACACUUAUCUGAUCAAGUGAAAAAGUGAUAAGUGCUAUACUUAUCUGAUCAAGUGACAAAGUGAUAAGUGGUAACUUAGCUACACUUAUCUGAUCAGGGACAAAUGAUAAGUGAUCAUACGUAAGACCAUAGUUAUACUAUGGCAAAGUGAAACUGAAGUACUCAAUUUUCCAUAACCGUUCCUUAAUUUUGAUCAAGGAUGGUAAGUGACAAAUGGGCCCAAAUGAAUUAUGGUAAAAGAAUAAGUAGUAGUGAGUUUAUACCAAGGAACUCACCAAAGAUUGUGGUUGACAGGUAAACUUAGUAAUGAUGUAUAUUGUAUAAGUGUACAAAUGUUUGGUAAGAUUUAUGUUUUAUGCCUAUGAACUUACUAAGCUUUUCUAUAAACUUACAUGUGUGUGUUUAUUGUUUUUGUAUAUUAACGUAUUUAUACAUUCGGUGGAUCGGAUCUACAUCGAGAAUCACACUAUCCAGAUAUACUCCGGUAGAUUUUGUUAAAUAACUUUUUGGAUUUAUAUGGCAUGUAUAGGGAAUUAAAGUAUAAAGUAAUAGAAUGAAUGACUAAGUAUGCAAAGUAAAAUUGAAUGUGAUGGUUGUGUUAGACAUUGAAAAAUACAUGUUUUUAGUUUGAAAUGGUUGAUUGGUUGAACUUCAUUAGUAUUCAAGUGAAGUAGUUGAAAUACUGAAGUUAGUUGUGAUUUGAAAUUUGUAGGGAAGGUUAGGUAAUUAUAAAGGGGUUAUAUUGAAUUUUUUUUAAAUUUCCAAUCGAACAGUUUUUGAACAACAGCAUUGAUGUAACUUUGAAAAAUCACCAAAAAUAGUGGAAAUAGAAUUAGAAGUUGAUUAGAUAUUUUUAGAUAUUUGAAAUUUAGUGAGACAGGGUCAGAAUGAUUUUGAAGUUCCCUGUUCUGACUUUAGAAAUUCAUUAUGAGUUAUAAUUUAUAUGUUUAAAUUCCUUAAUGAGUCUAUUUUAAUUAGAAAUAAGUGGAAGCACCAUAUGAAGUCUUUACAAUGAGAUAAUUUAAUUUUAGUGACAAGAUGUCAGGAUAGUCGAUUAGUGAAUUCAACUAAUAAACUGUACUAAUUGGCUAAACCAAAAAUUCUUAAAAAUUUAUGGUGAAUAGAUAUAUGAGUUUAGUUUCAGGGAAAAUUUACGGAUCUAAAUUUUGAGUUCUGUUACUUGAGUUAUAAUUAUUUUAGUGACUGCUGCGCAGGUGGACAGCUUUAUUGUGAAUGGUGAAAUUAGUUUUUAAAGUAAAUUUUUAUGCCCCUAACUUUUAAGUUAAGUCAAGUAACGCCUCAUGCUCGACUCUGGCAACAGUCUCGGGUAAGGGGUGUUACAACCUAUUUUUUCUCUCACUUAUUUUGUAUUCCAGCAAUGUUUGCUUUCUUUGAUUAAUACAUUAUUUUCAGAUUUUGUUACUGAUAAAUCUCAGUUUUGUCCAUCAUUAUGAUCUUUUUCAAGCAUUGUGCAUUGAAAUAACGAUUAAUGGACUAAUAAUACUUUCAUAAAAGGAGUUCUGCGUAUUACUCUGGAAGCUUCUAAAUAGUAUGAGGACCUGAAACAGGACUAUUAUUUAGAAAUAACCAGACCUAAGCGUUGGAAACAUUUGAGAAAAAAUAGUCUAAAUUAUGGCUAUUUCUUCAGGUUUUCUGUCAAAAUACUGGUUGAACAACAAGGCAGGGUAAUGUAUCAGUGAUAGAACCUCGAUAAACAAUGAGCAAUAUUAACCUAAGCAUUCAAAGAGGAUUAUUCUCGAAAAAUGACAAUCUGUAUGCAUGCAAAUAUCAUUCAUAAUCACCUAGUUAGGAGCAAUUGAUUCAUUCCGAUCAUGACAUCCUAAUCACUAGGCAUAAAUAGGUCAAUGAAAUGGAUUCUACAGGUCAUGUUCCCUAGAGAACAGAUUAGCGAAACCACAGAUCCUAUAUCCUUAAAGUUACAGUGGGAUGGAUUGAAGUCAUUAUGACGAAUCUUAUCUUCCUGAAGUUGUAGUGGAGCAGAUUAAAGCCACCAGCCUUAUCUCCCUAAAGUUGCAGCGUAGCACACAGAAGACAGCGAAUCUUAUUUCCCUAACGUUGUAGUGAAAUAGAUUAAACCUACAAAUUAUGACAGAUCUUAUCUUUCUAAAGUUACAGUGGAGAAGAUUGAAGCCACCAGCCUUAUCUCCCUGAAGUGCAGCAGAGCAGACUGAAGACAUUGAAUCUAAUUUCCCUGGCGUUGCAAUAGAACAGAUUAAAGCUACAAAUUAUGGCUGAUCUUAUCUUCCUGAAGUUGCAAUGGAGCAAAUUGAAGCCACAAGCCUUAUCUCCCUGAAGUUGCAGCGGAACAGACUGAAGACAACGAAUCUUAUUUCCUUGGCCUUGCAGUGGAACAGAUGAAAACUACAAAUUAUGGUGGAUCUUAUCUUUCUGAAGUUGCAGUGGAGCAGAUUAAAGCCACCAGCCUUAUCUCUCUAAAGUUGUAGCGGAGCAGACUGAAGAUAACAAAUCUUAUUUCACUGGCGUUGUAGUUGAACAGAUUAAAGCUAGAAAUUAUGGUGGAUUUUAUCUUCCUGAAGUUGCAGUGGAGUAGAUUGAAGCCACUAGCCUUAUCUCCCUGAAGUUGCAGCGAAGCAGAUUGAAGACAGAAAAUCUUAUUUCCCUGGCGUUGUAGUGGAACAGAUUAAAGCUACAAAUUAUGGCUGAUCUUAUCUUCCCGAAGUUGUAGUGGAGUAGAUUGAAGCCACCAGCCUUAUCUCCCUGAAGUUGCAGCGGAGUAGACUGAACACAGCGAAUCUUAUUUCCCUGGAGUUGCAUUAUAACAGAUUAAAGCUACAAAUUAUGGCGGAUCUUAUCAUUCUGAAGUUGCAGUGGAGCAUAUUGAAGCCACCAGCCUUAUCUUCCUGAAGUUGCAGCGGAACAGACUGAAGACAGCAAAUCUUAUUUCCCUGGUGUUUCAGUGGAACAGAUGAAAACUACAAAUUAUGGCGGAUCUUAUCUUCUUAAAGUUACAGUGGAGCAUAUUGAAGCCAUCAGCCUUAUCUCCCUAAAGUUGCAGCGGAGCAAACUUAAGACAGCGAAUCUUAUUUCACUGGCGUCGCAGUGGAACAUAUUAAAGCUUCAAAUUAUGGCGGAUCUUAUCUUCCUGAAGUUGUAGUGGAGCAGAUUGAUGCCACCAAUCCUAUCUUCCUAACCCCUGAAGAUGCAGUGGGAUGGAAUAAGACUCCUUCAAGAGAAGAAGCACCAAAAAGUGAAGACUUGGUAAGACUGGGCAAAAUUGGCCCUUUUAAAGUCUUUGGUCCAUUCUCGUUACAUGACAAUGAACAAAGAGGGGUAGCUAUAAUAGCCCAAUUUUACCCGGGCCUAGUGCCAAAACCAAAACAAAACCAAGAAUAAAAAUUGAGUCCAAAAUAUAAAGAGUCCGUUUACAAUAAAUAAACCCAAAUUACUUAAAAACCACUACCCAAACUUUACAAGCCCAAACAACCCAUAACCUAAACUAGCAACAGAAACCCUAAUACAACCGCCGUUCCUAGCCGUAGCCCUUAGGCCUGCUCCUGGCCGCCGCACGCUUGCCACCUCUAAGCGCGUCACACGCGUCUGACACCUGCAGAGAGAAAUCAAUGCAAAACAGUUGAAGAAAGAACUAGAAAAAAAAAUAGAAAUUAAAAGUUGUAACUUGGCUAUAAAAGCCGAAAUGUCCUCUUUGUAUUUUUUUUUACAAACGCACACCAGAGUAGUAAAAAAAAGAGAAAAAUCAAAGAAAAGUUAGAAAUAAAAAGAAAAGAGGUUUUGAAACAAAUCAGAUUAAAAAAAAGUAUCCUUUUUUACUCUUCUAUAUUUUUUAUUUUUCUCUAUUUUUGUUAUCUCUUUCCUUAUUUGUGUUUCAAAAGAAAAUAAAAAUAAAAUAGAAAAGGGAGAGACCGAAUCUUACCUUUUUUGGUGUUUACGCCGUCGUGGAGGGGGGUCGAGGUUGUCGUCUCCGAUGAAAGACGACAUUUUUGGAAUCGAGAGUCAAAAAGGCCAAAAAUGGAUAAUUUUUUUAUCUCCGACCACCGUGACCGGCGGCCGUCACGGUGCUCCGGUGACUGGAGCUAGGUCGGAGUUCGGCCGGCCAAAAGGGGGGUUGAGAGAAUAUUUUAGGGUGUUUUAGUUUUUUUCUGUGUGAAACGAGGAAGAUGAAAUUUUUUUUAAAAAAUUUUGACUUUUAUAAGCCUAUGAAACGACAUCGUUUAGGGCUAGCCUCCAUAGCCCCAAAAUGGCGUCGUUUUGAGCCUUAAAACCGUGGGACCCGAAUCGCUCCAGGGGGAUCUUCGUGUUUUCAUUCAAUGGGAUAUUUACGCCCUUGACCCUUCCGCAUUCUUGUUCUUUUUAAUUUAGUCCUUUUGUUUAUUCAUUUAUUUUAUAAAUUUAACCCCAAAAUUUGCGGUGCAUUUCAAUCGAGUCCUUGCUCCACUGACGCUUUGAAAAAUGGACACAUGUCUGAAUUUGGGGUUUUUACCCAUUUGGUCCUCGGCCUUUUUGUGUUUUUUUAUUUUAGUCCUCAUUUGUUUAUUUUGUCAAAAUUUUUACUUUUAAAUUUCAUUUUUAUUAUGAUUUAGUCCUUAAUUUGUUUGAUUUCAACCUUUUUGCAAACUUGUUUAUUUAUUUAUUUUAAAAUCUUUUACUAUAUUACUUAUUUUAAACUUUUUUAUUAUUACUUAUUUUAAGCUUUUUUUCAUAUAUUAUUAUUUUAAACUAUUUUAUACUUUAUUCAUUUUAAAUUGUUUUAUAUGGCAUUCAUUUCAAAUUGUUUUAUUGUGUAUUAUAUUAAACUAUUAUAUAUAUUAUUUAUUUUAAAUUACUUUAUAUAUAUUUUCGAACUGUUUUAUAUUUUAUUUAUGAUAAGUUUUUCCAUAUGGUUUAUUUUCAACCAUUUUGUAUAUUAUUUAUUUUAAAUUUAUUUUAUAUAUUAUUCAUUUUAAACUUUUUAUUAUUAUUUUCUUUAAAUUGCUUCAUUUACCAUUUAUUUUAAACCUUUUUAGAUUAUUUACUUUAAAUUGUUUUUUACAUAUUGAUAUUAAAGUGACAUGUGUUGUGUGAUUAUUGCCAUUAUGUGUAUUAUAAUUCAUUUAUUCGUAUUUUCAAGUUAUUGUGAUUCCUUAGUGUAAUAUUUUAUUCGUAAAUUAUUAUACCAUGUUGUAUAUUAUCAUUCCAUCACAUUUCAUUAAAAUCAUUUCAAAGGUUGCAUUUAAAUUUUUUUUCCUUUGUUCACAAUGGCCAUUUUAUUAUAUUUCAACUAAAUAGCACGCAUCGUUUAGGUUUUGUAAUCGCUAUUAUUCAAAAAAAAAAAAAAAUUCAAAAAUAAGGCAAUGUUUCGUUUUUGGAAAUUCGAGAAGCCGUACCCUAACUUACGGGGUUUCAAUUUUCUCGUUAAAUCUAAACAACCGAACAUCCUUCUAAAUUUAAAAUACCUAAGUUUUGAAUAAAAAUUUCUAAAGGUAAGCUUGUUCUCGAGGGUUUAAAAUGUCGUGUCCUAACUUACAGGAUGUGACAUUUAUAUUCUCGAGACCAAAGGGUCUUUGCCAUUCGUUUCAAUUUAUUCAAACAUUUUUCUUAAAAAUUAACAUUAAUAAAGAGGGAUCAUAUUUUAAAUCCUUUUCGAGUUUUCAAUUUCUGACACUAAGACAUUAAUUAAUCAAUUAGGUACCAAUUUUGGAGGUUACGAGGGUGCUAAUCCUUCCUCGUACGUAAUUGACUCCUGAACCUGUUUUUUGAAUUUCGUACACCAAAAUUAUUGUUUUAAUAAAUUAAACCGUUACGAAGUGACCCGAUCACACCUCAUAAAAAUGACACGUUUUUCUUUUUCUUUAAAAUAAAAAGUCGACACCGUUUUCAAAAAAAAUGGUUUCAACAGGAUUUUUCUUAAUUAUAUUUUGAAUGUGAAAGUAUAUUCUAUUUUUAAAAAACUUUACAUUCCGAUGUAGCAUUUUUAAUUAGUAAGGUUUCAAUUAAGUUUUUGGCAUAAUAGUAAAUAGUUAAAAGUUUUAUAUUUUUAAUAUUAUUCAUGCACAAUACGGUGUAUUAUGUUCUGGCAGGUGUGACUGGAAUUGAUCGGAAUAAGUUGGUACAAUUGGUACGGACUGAAAUUUUCACCAGUGUAGAAAAAGGGUGUUGGGUGUUUCGUAAUGUUAAUGAAACCAAACCAAACAGACCAAGAAUUGAUGAACCCGAGAACUAGAGUAAACUGCAGUUAAAUUACAAAUCAUCAGCCGAUUAAGUCGUAUUUUCACAACAUAAACAAAUAAGCACCAUUUCUCUUAUUACUUUUUCUACUAAAAUAAGUUUUUUUUCUCCUAAAAAACUUAAGAUGGACUUAUAACAUUCAAUCAAAGGAAAAAAAAAAGACAAAUUAGGAAAGAUGAAAGAUGGGGAGAUGAAAUAUGGGGAGAGGGUUUUAAAAUUCAAAGCCUUAAAAUAGAUGAAUUUGGGGUUAUUAAUAUUAUUUUAUAUUGUUGAAUAGUAAAUUAAUUGUAUCGGUGGUUAAACCUAUGGGAUCGAGAAUUAAUGAUCUGAUUGAUUUGAUUAUCGAUCUAAUUUUAAAAACACUAAUAUUUCGGUGUAAAAUUGAAACCGUGCACACAAAUUAGUAUAAUCAAAAUCUGUACGAAACCGACCACCCUAAUUUAAUACAUAAUUUGACAUGCAUAUAAAAUAUUAUCUUGGAAAUAUAUUGAAAGAGGAAAGUAAUCGUAUGUAAAUGGAUAACUUAGAAGAGAUAAUGAAGCAGGAAUCAUUAUAUCAGCAGUGGCAUCUUCUCGAUGUAUGGCUGCUCACUAUCUGAACUGCAUUUAUCGUUUGAUUAUUUUCUUAAUUAGCCAAACUUAUGUUAACAAUGGUAUAAUAGUAAUUAAUUACGUCAUGGAUAGAACAUCAAUAUAUAAAUACCCCAUAUAUAAUAAGCAACAAUAUAUCAAAGUACACCAAAUAAUUGGAAUUGGAGAACUCUCAUUUAUACAAAGAAAUAUAAGUGGGCUAAAUCAAUACUUAUAAUAAAGACAUAAAGGCGACUAAAAUCCUUAUUAAACUAGAUCCAGUAUGUAGCAGAUAAAAAACAUGAGGUAUUUCAAGGAGUAGAAUGAGAAUGUGGUGGAAAACAUAAAGGAAUAGAGGGAACUGCAGUUGGGAUUGUGGGGACUGAGGGAAUGCUUGGGAACUAUCAUAGAAUUAGGGGAUUACAACUAGAAUUAGGGAAUUACAACUAAUUAAAAUAUGUAGAAUAUCUUUGGGAAUUAAUUCUCUAAUAUGCCCCCUUAAGAUCUAGCUCUGAAGGAGACACCAAUCUUAACCCUUAAUACUUGGAAGCGUUUUUGUGGAAUCGGUUUCGUAAGAGCAUCAACAAGUUGAUCUGUUGAGGAAACAUGAGAAACAUGAAUAGUGCCUGAUUGAACUUGAUCUUGAAUAAAGGGAUGGGCAAUUGCAACAUGUUUCAUUCGUGAAUGAAAGACUGGAUUAAAGCAGAAGUAUCUGGCACCAACAUUGCCAUAAUAAAUAAGAGGCUGUGUAGGAAGAUUGACUCCAAGCUCUAUGAGAAGAGAAUAAAUCCAAUUGAUUUCUAAAGUAUUAGCGGCAACUAAUUGAUACAUAGCAUCUGUGGAUGGCUAAGAAAUUGUGCAUUUUUUAUGGAUAACCAAGAAAUAGGAUGACGAAUAAGAUAAAUAAUAUAAACACUCGUAGAGGUAUAAUCAUCUUUGCUACUAAUAACUCUUGAAAAGAGUUAAAUUUAAUGCCUCUAGACCUAGCUAAUUACUUGAACUUAAGUACAUUUUGUUGCAUUUUAGGACAUUUUAGUUAGCAUGUUUAAUAUUGCAUUAGGACUUCGACUGUUUUCAAAUUAGGCGCUUUUAAUAACUUGUAAUGGAUUUUUUUGUAUGGCAGGAACAAGUUUUGGAACGAGGAAAUAAAGGAGUGAAGUUUUGUUAGGGCAAAGUGCAGAUAGUUUGCUAGCACGGAUGUCAUGGCAAUGCCAGGAAAGCCAAGUCAACAUUUUCCCCGCAGCAAUCUUAGUUCAAAUUCAAACUUUUACCAGAUAAAUCCCCCUGAAAGAGGAAAAGAUAAUCACAAGUUGUUAGCCAACCCUAGCCUAAUCUAUCUAUAAAAUCCGAUGAAGGGGACCUCACAAAGGGCAAGAAAAAGUGACAGAGAUCCUUAGGUGUGAAUAAGGGUUCGGCCGCACAAAAGAAAGAAAGUCAAAAGCAGUCCUUCUUAGCCAUCACAAGUUGUUGUGAUGCCAAAGUAUGGACUUGGAAAGCGAAAGUUGUUUCCUGAAGUUAUUUUGUUAGUUCCAUUAGUGUUCCUUCAAAAGAUUGCAUUGAAGUAGUUGAACACAAUGUCGGAUAAUAUUUUGGUUUGGAAUUUUAUUUCCCAGCCCAUGAGCUAAAUCUCAUAGGGUUGGGAUUACUUUUGAUGAAACCUUAAACUAUUUUUAAGGAUGCAGUAUAUCUCUAAUUUACUUUACUGUUUCAUUUGAUUGUUCUUAUUUCUUAACUAAAAUGCAGAUGAUCUCUAGACACAGAAGACUCUUCGCAUACUUAUAAACUAAUUCUCAUUUCGAAAGGGUUGGGUUGAUCGGAUUAAAAUUAAAUGAAAUGAGCAAGUAUUCGAUAGACACUUGUAGUCGAAUCUAGACAUAGUCACGAUCAUACAGAAGGAACCCAUGCAAGAUAUCUAAAAAGUCUAUAGAUACGGGCAAGGUAACUUGAGGUUUUGCUUUCGUGAGAGGCAGGUCAUUUUAGAACUUUUCUUUGCAAUAAAGUAGAUACGAUUUUUCCAAGGCAUUAUUGAUAGUAAGGGUCAAUUCUGGGUAAUCCUGACCUUCCAAAUCCACAUCGUAUAGCUUUUAUUCUUUGCGAUAAUAUCUUUGCCACGUCAUUAUUAGUUAUUUAUUUGUUCAUUUACAUAAUAUUCCCAUAGUAAUUCUCAUAAUUGCCAUUAUAUUUCUACUCUUAUUUUGCCAUAUAAUUUCUAAGUAUUCAUUAAUUCCACAUAUUGCAUACAUCAUUAUUCCUUUAAUUGCCACUACAUAUUUACUAUCGCUUUGCCAUAGCAUUAAUUGAAUUUUAUUAUAAUAAUUUGACCACUUUUUCACCUCAAUCCGAUCCUCGUGAGAACUAUAUUCACUCAUCACUUUAUUACUUUAACUGACAUGUAUACUUGUACAAAAUCACAUAUCAUUUUACACACGAUAAGUUUUUGACGCUAUUAUUGGGGAUUGACAAUUUGGUAAAAUUUGGUUUGGUUAUUUUACUUAGUAGUUUUAUUUAACUUAGUGUAUUUACUUUUUAUAGGUUUGCCAUCAGUGCAUAAGAAGAGGCAUUCCUACUAACACAAAAUACCUUUUUGAUCCAUAUAUUGACAGAACCUAGCGAAUAAAGAGAAAAGACCUGAGAAAAAUGGCUGGAAAUAGGAAUGAUCUUAAUGGUAAUCUAAAUGAUCGCAAUAAAAAUUCUCCCAUUAGAUGUGUGGUGGAUGAUCGAGAUAGGCUAAUUAGAGAGCAUGUCAUCCCAAUGCUUAAUGAUUUGAAUCGAGGGAUAGUCAAACCAACCAUACAAGCUCAACAAUUCGAGUUGAAACUGGUAAUAUUCUAGACGUUAGAAAUAGUAGGACAGUUCGGUGGACUACCCACUUAAGACCACAAUUACAUUUAAGACUCUUUUUAGAAGUAUGUGAUUCAUUCAAAUAGUAGGGUGUUCCAAAAAACACCUUGAAGCUAAAGCUCUUUCCAUAUUCUUUAAGAGAUCAUGCAAGAGCAUGGAUAAAUGCUUUGUCAUCGCGAACAAUGGCAUACUAUGGAUAAAUGCCAACCAUGGAAUGAUCUUUUCUAGAGAUUCUUGAUAUGGUACAACUUGCAUACUAUGAAUGCCAAGUUGAGAAAUGAUAUUACGUCUUUUUGGCAGAUGGAGGACGAGAUACUAUAUGAAGCUUUAGAACGAUUUAAUGAGUUAAUUGAGAAAUGCCCGAUGCAUAGAUUCCAGCAUUGGACUCAAAUGGAGAUGUUUUACAAUGGGUUGAAUGCAUACACAAGGAUGGUAGUUGAUGCGUCUGCCAAUGGUACUUUUUUGGACAAAAAUUAUAAUCAAGCAUACGAGAUCUUAGAAAAGGUUGCCAACAACGAUUAUCAAUAUCUAACCACAAGAGCUGGGACAGGUAAGAGAGCUACCGGUACCACCGAGCUUGAUGUAAUCCCUUUGUUAAUGGCCCAAGUAUCUUCUCUAGCUAAUAUGAUUAAAAUCAUGAAAAAUCCAACUGUAGCCCAUGAAAUGAAAUCAGCAGACUUGCCAUGUGUUUAUUGCGGUGAAAGUCAUGUGUUUGAAAAAUUCCCAUCAAAUCCAGCGUCAGUAUGCUAUUUGGGUAAUUCCAACCGAAACAACAAUCCAUAUUCCAACACUUACAAUUCAAGGUGGAAGCCACAUCUGAAUUUUAGUUGGGGUAAUUAAGGUGCAGGAAACUUCAACAAUGCCGCAAGACAGAAUGUCAACAGUGCACCGCCUGGUUAUGUUCAACCUAUGCCAAGGCAAAAUAACCAAUAUGUCAAGCAUCAUCUCCUACUUCUAUUGAAGUUUUGUUAAAAGAAUAUAUGGCCAAGAAUGAUGUUGUAAUUUAGAGUCAGGCUGUAUCUCUCCGAGCGCUUGAAAAUCAAGUGGAGAAAAUAGCGAAUGCUCUUAAUUCAAGGCCACAAGGAGCAUUGCCGAGUGAUACCAAGAAUUCAAGAACACAAGGCAAGGAUCAUUGUAAAGUAAUCACCCUUACAAACGAGACUCGGUUGAGUGGUGUUGUUCACGAUGCCGUGGUAAGAGAGGAUAAGCAUAUGAAAAGCAUACAACAUUUGAAAUGGAUAAGCAGGAAAAUGUUAUGAUAAAAUCAGAUCAGGUUGCCAACAAAAAAUGCCACAGGAAAACAAUAUCAACAACUUGAAGGACGACCGCCUCUACCUUUUCCUCGACGAUUCCAUAAUUCCAAAAAAGAUCUCAGUUUAAAAGAUUUUUGGAAUUUUUGAAGCAACUCCACAUUAAUAUAUUUCUAGUCGAAGUUUUGGAGCAAAUGCCCAAUUACGUGAAAUUCAUGAAAGAUAUAUUGUCGAAGAAACAUAGGUUGGGAGAAUUUGAGAUUGUUGCUCUCACUGAAGGGUGCAUAGUAACAUUGAUGAAUAAGUUGCCUCUAAAGAUAAAGGACCUAGAACGUGAAAUUCAUGAAAGAUAUAUUGUCGAAGAAACAUAGGUUAGGAGAAUUUGAGAUUGUUGCUCUCACUGAAGGGUGCAUAGUAACAUUGAUGAAUAAGUUGCCUCCAAAGAUAAAGGACCUAGAGAGUUUCACUAUCCCAUGUUCAAUUGGAAAUCAUUAUGUAGGAAAAGCAUUAUGUGAUUUUUUAGCAAGUAUAAAUAUAAUGUCUAUGUCUAUUUUCAGGAAGCUAGGAAUUCGGAAAGCAAGAUCUACCACAUAACGUUGCAAUUGGCUGACCGAUCUUACGCCCAUCCAGAAGGUAAAAUUGAAAAUGUAUUGGUAAAAGUGGAUAAAUUUAUCUUUCCUAUAGAUUUUCUUAUUUUAGAAUGUAAGGCUGAUCAUGAUGUACCAAUUAUUCUUAGAAGACUGUUUCUUGCUACUAGCAGGGCCCGAAUUGAUGUAUAGAAGUGCGAGCUAACCAUUAGAGUGAAUGAUCAAUAGGUUACUUUUAAUGUGUUUAAUGCAUUAAAAUGCAUGAAUUAGAAUGAGGAAUGUGACGCCAUUGACUUGAUAGAAUCAACAGUGGACGAAUUCACAAAAUUUUGAUACAACAAUUCUGACAGUGAAGACGAUUUGAUGGAGCAAUGUGACACAAUAAGUUUUGAAGAGCUUGGUGAAAUUAUGGAAUCCGAGCAAAUAAUUGAUAGGCUAGGGAAGAAAUUUGGAUCCCUUGAUUUAUCAGAACGAUCUUUUAAGCGUCUUAAACCAUUUGUAGAGGAAUAUCUCGCUCUAGAUUUAAAACCUCUACCAUAACAUUUGGAAUAUGCAUAUUUGGGAAAUAACAGUAUUUUUCCAAUUGUAAUUUCUGCUAAGCUAACACUUGAGCAAGAGGACAGGUUAUGUAACACCUCAAACCCGUGUCCGUCGCCGGAUUGGGGUUACGGGAUAUUACCGAACAUAAAGCCUAUUUGUAAUUUCAGUUAACUUAUAAAUUUUUUUAUAACAUAAACAAAAUGAGUCAAAUCAAGAAUACCAAAUUUGCAUACUUAAUAAUUAAUUCAAGUACAUAUACUAACCAUUCAAGAAAAAUAAAAGUAUACAUUUUACCGAUUCAAUUAAACCAAAGUACACAAGAAUUAUUCAAACAUAUAAAAAUAUUCAACAAAACAAAUACCUAUUUUAAUGUGAUCAAUAAUUUCAGGCUUUAGCGAAUAUACCCUAUCCUCUAAUAAGGCACAUGACCUGCUUAUUGAUAGAAUACACACCCAAACCAAAUUUUUUUAUAAUCACCAACAUCUUCAAACUAAACAUGUUUCAAAUACACUCUAUUUAUAAAUAUAUUAUUUCAAUAUACUUAAUUAUCACUUAUUAAAAUUUUAAUCAAUCUAUGCACAAGUAAUUCAAACGUAAUUAUAACUUGAACUACAAAGUAUAAGGCUAAACAUACCACAUUUGGCAGUACAAAAAAAAAAUAUAUAAUAUCCCUUAACAUAUAAGUUUCAACCCAGUAUGUAUAAUUUCAUAAUAAAUUAAGUACAAAGUAAAAUACUCAUCAACUAAUACAUUCAUUACUCAUACUUAAAUUAAUUUGGUUAAAUUACAUCAAAUCAAUAUAGUACCACCUACUAAACGAACCAUGCAUAUAUAUAUAUUUAAAUGUGUAUAACAAUUUAUGCACUUAACUAUAAAUUAUAAUACCUAACAUGUAAUCAAACCAUAACUGAAUGUAUAUAUAAGACGAAAACCAAAUCACAACAUACAACUAUGACAUACUCACUAAUACCUAUUCACACUUACAUUCCACUUAACAUUAACCAAUAUAUAUAUACAUUCGAUCUUUGAUUCAUCUUAUAACCGAAUCACCCAACACAAUUUCAUAACAACUAUAUACCUAAUAUAAACAUAAACUAUAUCUGAAUAUACACAAGAAAAAUAUCCAUUUUUACUUAUUUUACCAUAUGCAUCAAUACCAAACCCAAACAAAAAGGAGAUAAGCCAUUUUCACAUGGCUAUUAAUUAAACAUACACAUUAGUUCCAAAAUCAACAUAUUAACUAUGCUAUACGUGUCAUAUACUCAAGAUCAACUUAGUAAAGUACCGAAGGAAACUGUCGAUAGUGUGAUAAGUCUUGCUAACGAUCCCCGAGCUCGUAACCAAUUCCAUAAUCUAUAAAACAAAGAAUAAAUAUACACACAGUAAGCUUUAGCAGCUUAGUAAGUCAUAAGCAAAUAUUUUUCACAUUAACAUUAAUAUCAACCAAUUAACCAAGCUACUGAAUAAAAUAUUUAUAUAUACAUUUAGCUUUAUAAAGUCAAAUGAAUAAAUACUUAAAUACAUGUAUCUUAUUCAUGUCAUAAAUUAUAAUUGUACUAAUAGAACCAAAUCACUUAUAAAUACAAACCUACUUACACAUUUUACAUUUAUCAAUUAAUCUUGAACCAUCAAUUCAAUAUAAACUUACCUUAACUUCAUAGCAUGGCAUAAAUACAUGCCUGAACUUCUAAAUUUGUUUCCACACUCGGUCAUUAAUUAACAUUGGCCGUUGAACUGUUCAGAAUUAAAAAGGAUACGUGGAAUAGUCGAAAAGCUUGUACAAUGCCAACGUCCCAGGCGUGGUCUUACAUGUAUUCACAAAUCGGUGCCACAGUCCCAGACAGGGUCUUACUCGUAAACACAAGUUGAUGCCAACGUCCCAGACGUGGUCUUACACGAAAACACAUCAAAAAUCCUAUGUCAUUACAUAAGUAUCCUAUCUAUUCCUAAGGUUCGUACGGGGCUUUUGAAUUCAGAAACCGGAUCAAAUCAAACUCAAAAAUGCAUUUCUCUGAUUCAAUACACAUUCGGCCAUACACAAUAUAUUCACAAAAAUUUUCAUUCAUAAUGUGAUAUUUAUAUAUUAUCAAAUUUAACAUCAAUUAAAUGCUUAGAGACUUACCUCGAAUGUCAUCGACUGUUAAAUCGGCUACUCGACCACCUUUGUUUUUCCCCGAUCCAAAACUGAUUUCUUUAAUUCUUAAUCUAAACAUAUUCAAAUUAAACUUGUUUAAACACCAUUCUAUUCAAUUUAACCAAAAAACACAUAAAUGGGACAAUUACAAUUUUUCCCAUAACAUUUCACACUUUUUACAAUUUAGCUCUUUUUGCUUAAAGCACAAAAUACACAAAAUUUGACUACACUCCUUUAUGGCUGAAUAUUCCUAGGGAUUUUAAAAGCGCAUACAUUUCAUUUAUUUCACAUUUUAGCCCCUAAAAAAAUAUUUUUACAAUUUAACCCUAUUUACUCAAAUUCAUCAAAAAUUCAAAGACAAAACAUGCUAAUCUUUCACAUAUCUUUCAUAUUUCAUCAUCAACCAUCACAAAGCUCAAGCAUUCAUCAAUGUUACAUUUCAAAAUUAUCAACAAUUCACAAAAUUAAAGCAUGGGUUUUGAAGUAUUCGAAGCAACGAUCUCAAAAACGUAAAAAUUAUCAAAAACCGAACAAAAACGAACCUUGAAUUUAAGCUUGAAGAUGGCCGAAACUUAACUAAGCUUUCAUGACUUUCUUCCUUCUUGAUUUCGGCUAAGAAAGAUGAUAAUAAUAUAAUAUUUUAUGCUUUUAACUAUAUUAUAUUAUAAUAUUUGUUAAUUACUAAUUUAACCUUAUUUAAAUAAAUAUAACAUAUAUAUGUAAUAAGGUUAGUUUUGUCCUUAGCCAUCCACUAACUAUUUAGUGGUCUAAUUUCAUGUUUAAACCUCCCAAUUUAAAAGACAACAACAAUUAAAUACUUUUAGCUUUAACCCUUAAUUUUUUUAUUUUUACGCAAUUAAGUCCUUUUUCUUUAAUCAGUUACUCAAACAACACAAUUUAAACACGAAAAUUUCACACAAUCAAAUUCACACAUAAUAAAAUCAUAAAAUAAUAUUAAAAUAUUUUUUUGACUCAGAUUUGUGGUCCCGAAACCACUAUGUCUGAUUAGGGUCGAAAUCGGGCUGUCACAGGUUGUUAGAAGUGUUAUGGUGAUCUGAAAGACCACUAAGUUGGACCCUUGCUGAUAUAAAGGGAAUUAGCCCUACAUUUUGUAUGCACAAAAUUUUAUUGGAAGAUUUCUAUAGCAAAUCCAUUGAAUAGCAGAGACAACUAAAUCCAAUUAUGAAGUAAGUUGUCAAGAAAGGAAUUAUCAAGUGGCUUGAUGCUAGCAUUAUUUACCCAAUUUCCGACAGCUUGUGGGCAAGUCCUAUGCAAUGUGCACCCAAGAAAAGGGGUGUCACAGUAGUAAGUAAUGUCAACAAUGAGCUCAUAUUGACUUCUACUGGUACAGGAUGGAGACUAUGUAUGGACUACCACAAGCUUACCAAGACAACAAGGAAGGAUCACUUCCCUCUACCAUUCAUCGAUCAAAAUGUUGGAUAGAUUAGUUGGUAAGGCUUUUUAUUACUUCCUAGAUGGUUAUUUAGGAUAUAAUCAGAUUACCAUAGACCUAAAGAUCAAGAGAAGACAACUUUCACGUGUCCAUAUGGCACUUUUACAUUCAGGUGGAUAUUGUUCGGGUUAUUCAAUGCCUCAGCAACUUUCAAACAUUGCAUGAUGGCCAUAUUCUCGGACAUGGUGGAAAAUUUCCUUGAAGUUUUUAUGGAUGAAUUCUCUUUGUUCGGAAAUGAUUUAAAUACUGUUUACGAAAUUUGAUGAUGGCUUUAUGUCGUUGUGAAGAAACGAAUCUAGUAUUAAAUUGGGAGAAAUGUCAUUUCAUGGUCCGUGAAGGAAUUGUCCUAGUACAUAAGGUGUCAUAGCGAGGAAUUGAAGUAGACAGAGCAAAAAUAGAAGUGAUCAAAAAAUUGUCACCGUCCACUAGUGUUAAGGGUAUUAGAAGUUUUCUAGGACACACAGGAUUCCUUGUGUACUUUACUUGAACAGAAUAAGCCUUUUAAAUUUGAUGAUCAAUGUUUGCAGGCUUUUAAGGAACUCAAGAAGUGACUUGUAGCAACACCGAUUGUGGUUGCUCCAGAAUAGACAUUGCCCUUUGAACUCAUGUACGAUGCUAGUGAUUAUGUCGUGGGAGUAAUUUUGGGUCAAAGGAGAAACAUUGUUCUACAUGAAAUAUAGUAAUAGGAUGUUGACAGAGACUCAACUUAAUUAUACCACUACGGAGAAGGAAUUACUAGCAAUGGUCUUUGCAUUCGACAAAUUUCAUUCUUAUUUAGUACAGUCUACACAUAUCACUCAGCUAUCAAGUACUUUGUAUGGAAAAAAGAUUCCAAACUGAGAUUGAUUAGGUGGAUACUUUUGUUACAAGAGUUUGAUUUGGAAAUUAGAGAUUGGAAAGGAAGCGAAAAUCAAGUGGCUAACAAUUUGUCAAGAAUAGAAUCGAGGAAUAAAAAUGAAAGUAAGAAAUAUACUAAGGAAGAAUUCCUAGAUGAACAGUUUCUCAUUGCCAAGGCAUUACCUUGGUACGCCAACAUUAUAAACUUCUUAGCAAAUGGUGUAAUGCCACCUGACCUCAAUGCUAAAAAAAACAAAACUUUCUUCGAGAUGUCAAAUAGUACUAUUGGGAUGAACCAUUCCUAUUCAAGCAUUGUGUAGGUCAAAUAAUUCAGAAGUGCGUCCCCAACAAUGAGAUGCAUCGUGUCUUACAACAUUGUCACUUAGCCCCAUAUAGAGGACAUUCUAGAGGGAUGAAAAUAGCUACCAAGGUAGUCCAGUCAGGAUUCUAUUGGCCAAGUUUAUUUAAAGAUGCUCAUGAAUUUUAUAGGUUGUGUGACCAUUGUUAGAGAAUAAGAAAUCUGUCUAGGAGACAGGAAAUGUCGUUACAAAGUAUGGGUCCAUUUCCACCAUCCGUAGGCAAACUAUACAAACUUUUGGCAACAGACUAUGUUUCUAAGUGGGUAGAAGCAGUAGCCCUAGCCCCUAAUGAUGCUAAGUUAGUAUUAAAAUUUUUGCAUAAGAGCAUUUUCACACGAUUUGGUACACCUUGAGCCAUUAUUAGUGACGAGGGAUCCCAUUUUGAUUGCAAACUGGUGGUCAAUACCUUGCGAAGGUAUGGGGUGAAACAUAGAAUUGCCAUGACAAUCACCCUUAAACGAAUGGCCAAGUUUAAAUCUCUAAUAGAGAAAUUAAAAAAAUUCUGGAAAAAAUGGUGAAUCCAUCUCGAAAGGACUGGUCUACUAGAUUGGAUGAAGUGCUAUAGGCAUAUUGAACUGCAUUUGAAAUACCAUUAGGGAUGUCACAUUUUAAACUUGUUUACAGUAAGCCAUGUCAUUUACCUAUUGAACUUCAACGUAAAACAUUUUGGGUGAUUAAAAAGCUGAAUAAAGAUUGGGUUGUUGUUGGCAACAAGAGAUAGCUAGAAUUGAAUGAGAUGGUAGAGUCUCAAACAUAAGCAUAUGAGAAUGCUCGUUUGUAUAAGGAAAAGUCCAAGCAUGUCAGAAUUUUACCAAGACAAAUUGAACUUGGACAGCAGGUAUUAUUGUUUAAUUCCAGGCUCAAAUUAUUUCCUAGUAAGUUAAAAUCUCGAUGGUCAAGACCUUUUGAAGUAAUUCAAGUGUAUUUACAUGGUGCUAUUGUUGUUAAAGACCUAAUAAUAAAGGAUACAUUCAAGGUUAAUGGACAAUCCUUGAAGCAUUAUUGGGGUGCUCUUAUAGAGUGUGACAAGCAAAGCGUUAGCCUUUGUGAUGUUUGAAUUUUUGUUAAUAAGUAGUUUUAUUUCCCAUUGUUAUUUUUAUUGUCUUUAUUUUUAAUACAAUUUCAUUUAUGUUUUUAUUACUAUGAAUAGGAGCAGAAUAAAAGAAGCAGGAUUUGUUAGUGUAUACAGAGCAGCAGUUUGCCGCAACAUUACAAAGAAACAUUAUUCAAUGAAAAAUUGAAUGAUGAGGUUUUAAUAAAAGAGUUGACCGGUUACAAAAUUCCAAAGGAAAGACUUUUAGGUAGUUGCAUUUAGUGACUAUUGGGAAACCCAAAGUAUGAAGCCCACAAUGUAGGGCUAAAUUAUUUUAUUUUUCCCCCAAAAGUCUUUUCCGUUUUUAACUUUUCCUCUACGUCAUAACCCUUCUCACUCAUAUUUCCUAUUCCCUAAAAACUGUCAUCAUUAUUCUUUUUUAUUUUAUUCAACUCGUUCAUGUUUCCCACUUCUCACAAAGUUCACAUUUUUAUGGUUCUCUCACAUACAACCUCUCUGUUAUUUAUUGUUUACUCUAUUAUUUUCCUUUUUUGUUUCCCUAACCUUCUCUUCAUGGCUAGUGUAAGGAGUACUUCUAAAACAACAGAAUCUUCACGCACCGGCGCUCCACAACCAAAUAUAUUCUUUAAUGCUGCUGCUGUCACAAUGUAAUCAACUAAUAUUCUAAAGCGGCCAUUUUAUUUUGAACAAAGAUUUUUAUUAAAGGAUGAAACCUACAUGGGGUACGAUGAAUCGGUAUCCUCGAUUGUAGAAAAGCACAGGAAAUUUUGUCUACACCUAGGGGAUGUUGUGGGUAAAGUGGUAAGAGAGUUUUACUCCCAUGUAAAUUCCCCAAAUUUUCUCUUCAUUUAUGUGUAGGGUAAACCUGUACCAUUUGACGAAGACCAUGUUAAUGCACAGUUGGCAUCAUGGAGGUUAGAGAUGAGCAUUCUGAAUUUGUCGAGAAUAUUACACCGGAGGGGUUGGAAAAAGUAUUAGAGGAUUUAUGCAUUGAAGGAACACAGUGGAUUAUUUCAAACCAGGAGUGUUAUACGAUUGAAAGAGCUACAUUAAAACCAAUUGGGAAGGUGUGAUACCACUUUUUAAGGAGUCGUCUUAUGCCAUCUAUGCAUAACACGACUGUUUUGAAAGAAAGAAUGUCGGUGUCACAUUCUAUUCUACAAGGAAGAUAGAUAAAUGUAGGAAAGAUUAUCUUCCAAGAGGUCCAUAGGUGUGCUGAUAAAAAUACCGAGAGUUUGAAUUUUCCUUCCCCUAUUUUUAUCCUAUGUAAGACGGAAAAUGUGCCUUUAGUCGAUGCUGAGGGUGUUACCCCCAAUAAGGGUGGGAUAAUGCAAGCAAUUUUUGCCUAGCUAUGAGGAACUGAGUUUUCUCCAACAUCCCAACACAGUCAAGCUUCCCCUACAACAUGUAUUCCCACGGCAACAUCUCUCGUCUCUCAUGACCAGAAAAUCUUAACUUCUCUAAAAUAGUUAGAAUAGAGGUUGUCACUACUUGAGGUGUAGCAAUACCAUAUGAUGGAAGAGUUGGAACAAAGCAACGAACGCCAGGCUCACUAUUGGUCAUAUGUAAAAGAUAGGGAUUUGUCAUUAAGAGGAUCCCUCCUGAAAAAUUUUUCGAGAACCAUGCCAAAAUCUCCUACUUUCCUACCUACUUUGCUCUCGUCUAAUGAGUGUGAAAAGAGCCAGUUCCACUUGCUGCCAAAACUGACCCUGUGGCUGAAAGAGUCACUGUAGAUAAAAGAAAAGCUAUUGAGGAGGAGUUAGAAAAGCCAAGCUCUGCCGAACUAGAGAAGGAAGUAAAAGAAAGAAAUGAAGAAACAAAUGUCCCUACCACUGCACCUACUCCUGCCAUUAAAAAAGGUAAAACUCCUGAACCAACAUUUUCACCCAUCUCUAUGACUGCACAGGUUCAAAAAAUCAAUCAACUGAUUGAUGAACUAAUGGAGACCGAUAAAGAAGUUAAGGAAGUUGACCUACAAAAAAGGAAGAUGCAAUACAAAGUCAAUGCUCGUAAGUCCACAAGAAAGAAUUGAAUGAAGUGCCAACAUUCCAGUCCAAGGAAGUUAAGUUUUGUUUUUCUUUUAUUCAUUGCAUAAUUUUUUUCGUUUGUGUGUAUAUUUAUACUUGCUAUAUACUGUUCAUGAUUUUACAUGCAUUGAGGACAAUCCAUCCCUUAAGUUUGGGGGUGUAUUGUGCAUUUAAGUUGUAUUUUGUAUGUUUAUUUUGGUAUAUAGGAUAUUUUUCCAUGGCAUAAUAACUAUUAAAAUACUAUUUUUUCUAUAAGAAGUACAAUUUUUCUUUAUGAUAUUCGAUGAUAAGUUUAAAAUUUUUUCAAUAUACCUAGAAUAGGUAACAAUGGAUUGGGUGAAGUUAGCUCAGGCUAAGUUGCUUGGAAAUUGAUUUCUAAAAAUGGGAUGUCCUAUACUUUGUUUUUUUUAUUAUAGAUUUUCAAAAUAUAGUAAGUAUAUUUUUAAUGCCCUUAGGGAAUUUUGAAACCAAACAUUAUUUGAAUUGCUAUGACAUUUUGUUUAAAUAAGUAUGCACUCCAAUACUUAGAGUUGCUAAGUAAGUCAGCAUCACUUUGUUUGCUCCGUCGUGCUUUUGAUUAGAAAGGAGGACCUAAGUAAGAGUGUGUGGUAUAAUUUUAGGGGCAUUCCAUUAUAGUAAAGGACUGAGUAGCUAAGGAGGUAGUUGUAUGCUCCAUCCAUCUUUUUAGUUAAAACCCUUAGUUUUAUAAGUGACUUUUGGUUUAAAUUAUGAUAUAAUUAAGUACUCGACAAUUCGUUUUAUGCUCCAUCGUGAUUGUCAAGUCAAAGAAUUUUGUGACAUGCUAAAUCCCCUAAUAAUAAUAACAUUUACUUUAAAAAAAACAAGAAUAAAUAGAAGAAUAAAUAUAUGAAAAUGUGAAUAAUCUAUUCUGAUAUGGGCUUAAAGUAAGUGACUUAUGUUUAGGUAACGAAUGAACUAAGUAAAUAAAAAGAUAUUUGCUAUAGGAAAAAAGAGAGAAUGCAUAGGUACUUAGGAAAUUUUGUUUUUAGGGAGAAAUUUUUGCACUGUCUUUGCUGAACAAACAUUUGAUAUUGGAAUUAGUUUUAGAAAAAGAGAAGAUUGUUGAGAACGAAGGUAUAAAUUAUUUUUCGAAUAGUUAGGCAGUACGAGAAAGUUUUUUUUUUUGCCAAGGUAAGAUGGGUGCAUUCAUGCAUUUAGAUGUAUUUUGCUUGAGGACAAGCAGUAACUCAGGUUUGGGGGUGUGAUAACUCUUGAAAAGAGUUAUAUUUCAUGCCUCUAGACCUAGCUAAUUGCUUGUACUUAAGUACAUUUUGUUGACUUCUAGGACAUUUUAGUUAGCAUUUUUAAUAUUGCAUUAGGACUUAGACUGUGUUGGAAUUAGGUACUUUUAAUUGCUUGCAGUGCAUUUUUGUGUGUGGCAGGAACAAGAUUUGGGAUGAGGAAAUAAAGGAGCGAUGUGUUGUUAGGGCAAAUUGCAAACAGUUUGCAAUCACGGAUGCCAUGGCAAUGCCAGAAAGACCAAGUCAACAUUUUCUGUGUAACAGUCUCAGUUCAAAUUCAAACUUGUACCAGAUAAAUCCCCUAAAAGAUGAGAAGAUGAUCACGAGCUGUUAACCAAUGCUAGCCUAAUCUAUAUAUAAAAUUCAAUUAAGGGGACCUCACAAAGGACGAAAAAAAUGACAGAGAUCCUUAGGCGUGAAUAAGGGUUUUGCUGUGUAAAGGAAAAGAAAAUGAAGGCAGUUCUUCUUAGCCAUCACAGGUCACCGUGCUGCCAAAGUGUGGAUUGGGCAAGCGAAAGCUAUUUCCUUAAUUUCUUCCAUUAUUUCCAUUACUGUUCCUUCAAAAGAUUGCAUUGAAGUAGUUGAACACAAUGUCGGAUAAUAUUUUGGUUUAGAGUUUUAUUUCCCAGCCUAUGAGCUAAAUCUCAUAGGGUUGGGAUUAUUUUCAGUUAAACCUUAAACUAUUUUUAUGGAUGCAGUAUAUCUCUAAUUUAAUUUAAUGUUUCAUUUGAUUUUUCUUAUUUAUUAACUAAAAUACAAAUGAUCUCUAGACAUAGAAGACUAUUCGCAUACUUAUAAACUAAUUCUCAUUUCGAAAGGGUUGGGUUGGUUGGAUUAAAAUUAAAUGAAAUGAGCAAGUAUUAGAUAGACACUUGUAGUCAUCUCUAGACAUAGAGUCACGAUCAUACAGAAUGAACUCAUGCAAGAUAUCUAAAAAGUCUAUAGACACGGGCAAGGUAACUUGAGGUUUUAUUUUCGCGAGAAGCAGGCCAUUUUGGAACUCUUAUUUGCAGUAGAGUAGAUAUGAUGUUGCCAAGGCAUUAUUGACAGUAAGGGUUGAUUUUGGGUAAUCCCGACCUUCCAAAUCCACAUCGUAUAUCUUUUAUUCUUUGCCAUAAUAUCUUUCCCAUGUCAUUAUAAGCUAUUUAUUUGUUCAUUUACAUAAUAUUCCCAUAGUAAUUCUCAUAAUUGCCAUUACAUUUCUACUCUUGUUUUGCCAUAACAUUUCCAAGUAUUCAUUAAUUCCACAUAUUGCAUACACCAUUAUUCCUUUAAUUGCCACUGCAUACUUACCAUCGCUUUGCGAUAGCAUUAAUUGCAUUUUAUUAGAAUAACUUGACCACUUUUGUGCCUCAAUCCGAUCCUCGUGGGAACGAUACUCACUCAUCACUUUAUUACUUGAACCGACGUGUAUACUUGUACAAAAUAGCAUAUCAUUUUACAUGCGGCAGUUGUCAGCCCAACCUGCACCUAAGAAGGCAUGAAGAGAAAGUGAAUUUCAUUUUCUAAGAAAUAAUCCAUGAGUCAGUGUGCCACACAGAUACUGAUGUAGCUGUUUUGUAGCAUUCGAAUAUCCAGAUGUUGGGUGGUGCAUGAAUUGAGAUAGCUUUUUGAGAACAUAUGUUAUGUCUGGGUGAAUGAAGUAAGAUAUUAUAGACUAGCAACAGUGGUUCUAUAUUCUUUGUAGUCAGUCAAUGUUGUACCUAAAUGAAGUGUAAGAUUUCCAUCAAUAGCAAGUGGUGUAGCAAUAGGGUGUGCACCAAAUAUUUUUAUUUGGGCAAGAAAACCAGUGAUGUAGUUCUUUUGUGUAAGCAAUAGACCAAAUGAAGUGGUGAGAAAUUCAAUGCAGAAACAAUAGGACAAGGCACCAAUAUCCUUGAUUGAAAAUUGUUGUGCUAGGAGAUCAAUGUAGCAUUGAACAACAUUAGUGUUGGUACCUAUGAGAAUAAUGUCAGCUAUAUAAACAAGUAGAUAUACUGCAGUGGCACCUGAGUGGAGUAUGAAAAGUGAAGUGUCUGAAUGAGAGUUUGUGAACCUAGACGCAAUGAGGAAUCGGUGAAGUUUAAGGUACCAAGCCAGUGGGGCUUGUUUGAGUCCAUAUAUAGCCUUUUUUUAAUUUACAUACAGGUGAUAGGUUGUCUCGAUCAACAAAUCCUAGAGGUUGGGCCAUGUAGACAUCUUUGGAAGGAUGACCUUGAAGAAAGGCAUUAUUAACAUCUAAUUAUCGCAAAUGCCAACCUCUACUAACUAUUAGGCUUAGAACAAGGUGCAUUAUUGUUGGCUUGACAGCUUGACUAAACGUGUCAUAAUUAUCCACACCAGGUAGUAGAUGAAAACCUUUGACAACUAAUCUAGCUUUGUACCUAUUAACCUUUUUCUGUAUUACUGAGUGUUUUUCCCUCUUUUUAGAAACAUAAUGAAUUCUUCUGCACUAUUCACCAUUACCAACAAAACCUUUCACUAUUUAUUCUUAAUCAUUAAUGAAAGUAUAACUUAGAAUUAAUUACAUUAUUCAUAUUAAUUAUCAAUUUUGUAACUCCUAUUCUUGAAACACUAUAAAUAGGAGUCUUUCACGAUAGGUGAAAGGACUUUUUGUACUUUUGGCAUUUUUAGCAUUUUGAACUCUCAAAGAAUUCUCUCUAAAAUUCUCUCAACUUCCUUCUUUGUUAAGCGUGAUCGACAGCUAUUUUUUCCUUUUUGCACUUUACCGACCACCACCUACCACUGCAAUCAGUGCUACCAAAUCUCCUCCAAUCUCCCGCUACGCUUUCUUCUAGUAUAGCUCGUUCACUUGCUUGCAACGCUUCUUCUCUCUAUCAAAAGAAUCUUCUACACCUAUUUAUACCCAAAUCCUCUUACACCCAUUGGAACACAGUCCUAAGCCUUAUUGGUUUUCUAAACCGGUCAAAACCCAUUGGUCGGAAAGAGGCGGUUUAGCACAAGCAGGGUUGCUCCAGCACCCAUAGCUGUAGGGAGUAAUGCCCUAAGUAUGCAAGCACCUGUGUGAGGUGGUUUAAUCCCACACACUCGAUUCAUACAUCCAGGUAGGUACCUAUCUACCUGGCGCAUCUGGAAGACCCAUUAGGGGUGACAAGAUGUUGCGACACCUCGUCUAGUGACCACGCAAUCGGCUUGCCUAACAAUUACCUUGUCUCGAGCAUAUUCAUAGCUAGCUAGUUCAAACGAAUGUGCAUAUUGUUUAAUUGGUCCCUUAGCUUCCAAGAGUAAUCCCUUGACUCCAGUAACUUGCAUAUGCCUUAAGAAUGUCAGAAACCUUGUUUACCAAAAUGCCCCCGAGCUCCGUGUUUAGUGUUUUCUUGACAUGCCUCCUUGUCAAGUUGCUCUUUUGUUGGUCGAUCCAAACACCUUAAUCUCUCAUGCCAUGAAAAGAUCCAUUAUCUUUAGUGAGUAAGAACUCACUCCAGUGUGAAGAUGUUUUUACAAAUAUAGCCCCACUUAUUUUUCUUUCUCAAUCAUUCCUUUAUUUUAUUGGAUUUAAAGGUAGGUAAUGAUCAGGUAAUUUAUUUCCCUAAUGUUUUUAUCAAAAUAUACAUAAUGUAACUAUAUUUGUAUACAAAGUGAAUACAUGAAAAUCAUCACUCGGAUAUGAUAGCAAAUUAUAUAUGUAAUAACUAGUGAAUACAUCAUAAAGCUUGUUAUUGUUUUUAUAUAACAAUUUAAUAAAUAUAUAAAUUUUAUCAUUAUAAAUAUGAUUUUAAUUCUUAUUUAGUAUAAAAUGAUUUUAAGUAUUUAUUUUUAAUUUACCUAUGGCUUUAAUAAUUUUAAAUAUUUUUAACAAAAACAUAAUUUAAUUUUUAAUACAAAAUGGUUUUUAAGUAAUUAUGUAUUAUAUUACAAAACAUUUUAAAUUAAUGUUUUUAAGAGUUGUUAUCAUUGUCACUUCACAGUUACAACAACUUUUGAAUCUAAAUAAACAUAUCACCAUUCAUUUUAAUUUCACCGCCAUUGUUGUUUUUAAUUUUAUCGAAGCUGAUCUCAUCGAUCAUUCAAAGGCAUUAGCUCGAACCUAUCCUAUGAACACCUAAUCCAAAUAGAUUUGUCAAUUGGUUGAGUUUGGUUAAUUUUGGAGUGAGUCAAUUAAUUAGAUCGAGUUUAUUUGGUUAUAAAACUUUUAGGCCAAUUCAGGUUUGGAUCAUUUCGAUUUUAAGUCAUAUUGGCUUUAGAACAUUAGGGUUAAGUAAUUAGAUAAUCUAAUGUUCAAGUCAUUUCGAGUUACUUGUUUUGAUCAUUUAGAUUUUAAAUCAUUUCAAAUUCAAACUAUUUUAUGUUUUGAUUUUUCUAAUCCCAAAUAUUUUUUGGUUCAAAUUAUUAAUUUUUUAUGAUUAAAUUCACAUGUUUUGGAAUUUUAAUUUAAAUUAAUUAAUUAGAUUUUUCAAUAUUAGAAUUAAGAAACUUUCCUCCAAGUUAAACUUGUUGUAUGGCAUUAAGUUACCUAUAGGAAAGAACCUGGAAGUUAGACCUAUCAAUUUGAGGUGGUAGCUGUUUUUUUUAUAAGGAUGAAAAAAAUCUGUUGUUAUUUUAAGUUGCUUGGUUGUUGAAAUACAAAACUGUAUCACUAUGGCUUAGCACUACAAAAAACUAUGUAAAUAAAGCUAUAUAACACCAAGGAUUCCACUAUCUUUGAUCCACAAUACAGCAAGUGAUUCAAACUCUAUCACUCCUCAAGUAUAGAGAUUUCACCUUUGUACCUAAAGACUAGAGCACUUACCUCCAAAUUCUCUCCUUGAGAAUUUGGGCAGUAAAUGCUCAACAAUGUUAGCAAUAAUAGUUUGCACACUUUCAGAAAAUAGUUGCUCAAUGAACAGAAUAAAAUGGUCUCAAUAAGCUCUUAUACAAAAUCUAUACAAGCCUCCAAACAUAUAAAAAUUUUGGCUACCUAACAUAGAAUCUAAGUGAGUACAAAGUAACUCUGUACCCUCCUUAACCCGACCUAGAAGUUAUUGUUGGAUUCUAAAGGCCACAUUGGUCACCAAAAUGACUUAGUAAAAAACUUGACCAGAUUCUCAGAAACUUCCUUUUUAAAUCAUUUGCCUAUUUUAUUUUGGAAAAAUUGUAGUGGGCUUCUCUUAGUUUUAUUAUUCUUUUUUUAUUGUUAAAAAGUAUUUUUACAUGCUUAUAAUCACCAAUAUGUAGGUUCGUCCAGUUAUUUAACUUCACCAAUUUUAACGAUAUUGAAUGCAAAAUACCAAAAUAACCCAGAAUAUUUAACCCAUACCACAAUAUGUAUAAAAAGUAUUACAGUCCCAAAUAGUGAUAAAAAUUAUAUUAUUAAACUGAAAAACUAAGAUGAGACCUCUGAAUGCCUAGUCCAGGUCCUAACCUCUCAGGUUACCUAUAAGAUAGUACACUAAGGGAAUGAGUUAUAAAGAUCAAUUUGAGUCUUAAUCAUAAGAAAUCAGUGUACCAAAGAUCACAAAAGCAUGCAAGUAAAUAGGGAUAACAGUCCUAACAGUGUCAGAGAUCACAGUGUUUCAAAAUAUAUAGAAUCACAAAGUUUUCAUAAUGUAUGAACAUGUCCCUGAAUGUCAGUGCAGUUUUCUACCCAUCCAUUCGCUCAUUACGGAUAAACCACCAGCAACAGUAAAUAUUUGCAGAUAAGCUGCCUGUAACCUCCCAAACUCGACCUAGUCGUUAUGGUCAAAUUCAGAAAGCUACAUUGGCCAUUGAAACGACCCAAAAAAAUUUUCGUAGUUUUCAAACAUACUUUUUAAACCAUUUACGUAAAUCGUUCAAAACUAGUGAAAUCAAAUAUUUAACUUAAUCUCGUGAAAAUAUGAGUAUUAUAGAAAUAAAUGAUUUCAGUAUUUUAUGUAUUUGUAAAAGUUUGAUCGCUAUUCAAAACUUUCAAUCAUAUUUCUAAAUCAUUUGUUUAUUUAUUCAAAACUAAAGAACAUGGUUUUAGGAAAAAUAUGUUAACUUCAGAAAUCAAAUGUCUUAAGAAACCUCAUUUGUAAACAUUAGUAAUUUGAAAACUAAGUCUAAUUUUAUUAAAAACUCUUUAUCAGAAUUUCAGUGGAAAAUUCUAAUAUUGACAUAUUUUCAUAAGAAUCACAACGAAAAAUUCUACUAUAAACAUAAUUUUUAAAAAAUCAGUAUUACAUGUAAAUUCGAUAAAACGUCAAUAGAUAAUUUUAAACCUCAAAAACUAUGUUGUAUUUUUGCCUACAACUCAUUUUCAUUAUCGAAGAAAAAAGAGUGAUUUUUUCAAGUUUUAAUAAAAACCAAGUUUCAUGCAUAAUCUUAGCAAAUACUAAUUUAUGCAAUUUUUAAAACUUAAUGUCAUACAAGCAAUUCAUGCAAAUCAAAAUGAAAAUCCCCAAAGUAAUGUCCCAUGCCACUGUCCAUACUUAAACUUGUUACAAUCCUUGAAUAACAAAAUAUUAAGAUAAACUUUAAUUACUUUAAUAUAAAAAGAAUUCUAGGAACUCUUCCAAAUGUCACCAUCUAAUCCUAUAAAGCCCAUUUGAGUCUUAUAACAAGUUAAAUAACAAUAAACACAUACUUAUCAUACAACAUAAUCAAAUUUGAUGCACAUGAUCAUGGCAGUGCAAUUUUAAACAAUUAUGCAAGUUUUUAUAAAACAUCCUACCUCCCACCGUUACACUCCAAAAAGAGUUUCUCAGAACUCAUCCAUCCAAACACUCCAAUAUGGACAAAGCCACCAAUAUUAGCAGACAAGCUACCAUGUAUGUUGUGGACGAAGCCACCAAUUUUUCCUCCUUACAAUAUCCCACCACAUGCAUGUGAUAUGGCCACAAUGAACAUAUAUAAACAUAUAUUUCAUUUUAAUAUAUCACUUAUCAUAUUGGACAUGUUGAGACAUGCAAAUCGGAUAAUAUAAUGUAGGGCAUGUUUAACAUGCGAAUCAUAUCUCAAUUUCAAUAUCGGUGGCAUGAUUUAUAUAUCAUGCCUAUCAUAUAAUUUCAUCAUAUCACACGUCAUGAGAAAUGGGAAUAUACACAUAAUUUCACAACAUUCGUUAAAUCACAUCAAUUAACACAUACGAUCAUAAAACAAUCAAUUCGAGGUACUUACUUGAGGAUUACCGUUUUUACGGAUUUAGCAUCCCUUUUUGAAUACAUAUUGUAUUCUUAAUAUUUCAUAUUAUGGAGAUUUUUAACAAGGUUUCAAUUUUAAAUAAAUACAUAUCAUUUAAAUAUUGGAAUUAACAUAUCUCUAUUUUUAUUUAGAUUAGACCCACAUCUGAUUUUAGAUCCAAAGCAAAACCACUCUAAGAACGCCCAGAGUUGGAUUUAAUCGAUAAGUUACCUACUUAUCAACAAAAGUGAUCUUUCAUUAAGGAGGUCAUUUUACACAUUUUAUGGAAUAAGUCAAUUUAAUAAUAAUCCAAUCAAAACUUACUCUUAUAAAAACCAAUCGAAAUGCAAUCUCUUUUCCAACGUUAGUAAUUCUUCGGGUUGGUAUAGAUCAACCCUUUAACAUAAAGUAGAAUAAUGUGUGUUACUAUACGAAAGAAAAUACAUUAUAAUCCCUUAAAGAAAAUUUGGCCUAAAGGAAAAGUAGGGAAGAAAUAGUGGUUUUCAUUCCACUUCCACACUUACUCUAACUCGAUUGAUUCGAAAGGAAUGAUGGGUCAUCAGGGUCUCGAGUUAGAGAGAAAAUCAGAUCUAGAGAAAUUGGUUACUUGAAAAAGUGAGUCAAAAGUACAAUAUUUACAUAAAUUAAAUUAAAACUAAAGAAUAUAGGGAAAUAUGAUUCUUUUACUACCAAAGAAGAUGACAGAGAUCAAAAAAUGAAGAAGAAAAGAGAAGGAUCACCAAAGUUGGUGGAGGCGUGACAGCAAGUCGUCGGCGGUAGUCUAGUGAGAAAAAAAUGGAGGAGGAAAAGAGAGAAGUGACACUUGAGAAAGGGAGGAGAGAAUAACAAUGAAGAAAGAUGAGGAGUGGAGAAAAAAAUGAAGGGAUUUGCAUUGGUGGUGCAAGGUGGCGGGCACAGUGGUGAGUGGUGGUGUAAGGGGCGACGUUGGAGUAAAGUAGAUGAGAUGAGCAGCGACGAGGAGGAGGUCCUAUGGUGGUUUGGUUUGCAAAGGGUGGUGAAAAAGAGGAGGAAAACUAAAGAAAAUUUAAUGGAAGUAUGGCCAAAACAAAGAAAAGAAUGGAGAGAAAGGGAUGAGCUAAGGAAAGGGACGACAAUAAGGAGAGGAGAGUAAGGAAAAAUGAAUCAAUAGGUGAAAUGUACUUGUCUAGGUACAAUGAAUCGGUUCAGAUGGCAAGGAUCGAUAAAAGGGCAUGUUGAGGGGACAAAGGAGGAAAAAAGGGAUCGUGCUUGAGUAAAUAAGUCAUGUUCACUUGAAAAGAAUAGAAAGAACCGUUCUCAUGCAUGGUAAGUGAGUUGGAUGGCAAUAGGAGUGUUGACAUGCUAAAGUUGGCAAAAAUAUUAAUAAAAAGGUUGUGAAUGUGGAGACUCAAACCUAGGACCUUUAGGAACUUUUUGAGCUCCUAACCACUAGGCCAUUUAAUUUCUUGUUCACACUCCUAUCAAAAUUAUUUUAAAAACAUGGUGUGACCUUUGCUAAGCUUUGAAGCAAAAUUGCACUACAUAAAAAAUAAUGCGAGGGGAGGGAUUCAAACACUGAUCAUCAAGGACAACUCCACCACUACUAAAUCAUUAUACUUGAUACUUAUUUAUUUACAAAUGAGCAAAAGAUCAUCUAAAAAAAUUCGGGCGUGACCACUCUCGGUUCAUUAACCCAAUUUCUACUAACCCAGUUUUCGGGAUGUGACACUGCCAGUAAUUUGUGGUUAAAUCACUAGUAAAAAAAAUUAGCGGACGAACUGCUAGAAUGACUACAUGAAUGUGUUGGGAGCUUUAGAUCCUGCGAAGUGUAAAGCUUUCUCCACAACUCUCAGGGGAGAGGAAGGAUUGGUAUUUAUCUCUCCCCAGGUGUCUAUUCGGAGUUUUUCUCAAUUGGGUCAGAUGAUUUUGGUAUGGUCCAGAGCACAUAGAACAGUUAUGAGCACUCCUAUAGGUUUGAUAUUUGUGAAACAAAGGGAAGGAGAGUCUUAAUAAGACUUUGUGAAAUGUUUCCAUACGGAAACACUGAACAUAAAGAACCUUUAGGAUCAAUGGGAUACUGAUGCUUUUAUUAUGGGAGUACAGAACAAGCAUGUAUAGUAUUCAUUCACCAACAAUAGGCCUCAAAGUUUGAAAGAUUUUGAGGAAAGGGCCCACAAGUUCGUAGAGGCAAAAGAGACAAAAAGAGCAGUACGUGGCAUAUUCUAGAGGGAUGAUAGGUUGUUCAGGAGUAGAGAUGGGGCUUGCAACAUAUAGAGGCCACCUCAUCAAUCUUUUUAUGUGUAGAAUGAAAUACAAUAUAGAGCACAACCAUAAAAUGAGUCACCUAGAGCAUCUCAAAUAGCCCAACUAGAGCUCACAAUGAGGUAUAUCCCCUAGGGUGAGUUUGAAUUUUAUACUCCCCUGACUGUUACUCAUACUUAUAUUCUGAAUUAGGUGAAAAGCCUAGGUAUCUUACCUAUUCCUUCCCUUAUGACACAAAGUGAAAAACAGUCAGAGUUGAGGGACAGGUUUGCUUUCCACGAUGAUAGGGGGCGCAAAAUUGAAAAUUGUUUCUCUUUAAAUGAUGCUUUUGAAGAAUCGAUAAGAAAUCAUGAGUUCACUGACUUUGUGGUUCGAAAUACCACUCAGUAAGGCCAAACUUCACGUACUGAAGGCAAGGGAAAGAAAAAGUUGAGAGGUACUAUACAUGUAAUUAUGGGCAUAGAUGAGGAUUGGGUGACUCCAGUGCAUAAAGGAAGGCUCACUUGAGAAGUGUAAUGUCGGUUAAUGCACCCAAAAGAAUGUGUCAGCAAGGGAAUUAGAGUAUUGAAUUUAGUAACGAGGAUAAAGAAUUUGUGUAUGAUAAAGAAGAAAAUGAUCCAAUGGUUGUUUCUACAACAAUUGUGGGCUUUGAGGUCAAGAGAAUACUCGUGGAAAGUUGAAGUACAGUUGAGGUUUUGACCUGGGAAGCUUAUCAAAAGAUGGGAUUAAAAUAGAAGGCUUUGUUCAAAGCUAGUUCAUUGUAUGGCUUCGCAAACCAUCCUAUUGAAGUUAAGGGUUGUAUCACUCUUCUUGCAACGUUGGGCGAUGAUGAGCACAUAACAACUGAAUAUGUGCUUUUUUUGUAAUGGAUCAUCCAAUGGGAUACAACGCCAUCUUCGGUCGACCAAUAAUGAGAAUGGAAAAAAUGGUGAUUGCUACCUUCUGUAUAAAAAUUAAGUUUCCUACGACAACAGAAAUAGGGUUUAAGUAGUCCAAUCAGUGAACUUCUAGGAAAUGUCAUAUGUUGGCUAUAAAGCAUACGUGAGAGCGUUCGGAGGGGGAACAGAGUUCGCAGCAGGCAGUGUUAAGUGGUCAAGUCUUGGAUUUGGAUAGCUUGGAUGCAAGAGAUGAUGAGAGAAGCAAAAAACCUGAAUUGGAAGAGGACAUAGAGACUUUGUAGUUGUUUUACGAUGAUCAAGGAAGAAUAGUAAAGGUUUCAUCAGCACUAGCACCGGAGGAAAAAGAGAGCUUGGUCCAGUAUCUAAGGGUGAACUCCGAUGCUUUUGUGUGGUCUGUGGUGAAUAUGCCUGGGGUAGAUCUACAAGUAAUUGUCCAUAAAAUGAAUUUCUUCCCUUCGGUAAAACCUAUUAAGAAAAAAAAUGAAGGUUCGCAUCCUAAGUAGUAGAGGUAGUGAGACUGCAGGGAGCCAAAUUUUUAUUAGUAGGGUUCAUCAAAUAGGUUAAGUAUCAAAACUAGGUUUCAAAUUUCAUCAUGGUGAAAAAAGCCAAUGGAUAGUGGAGGAUAUGCAUUUAUUUCACCAACCUCAAUAAGGCGUACCCCAAGGACAAUUUCCAUUUACCAUCGAUUGAUCACUUAGUUGAUGCAUCUUUAUGUCACAAGUUCAUGAGCUUCAUGGAUGGUUUUUCAGGUUACAAUUAGAUCUCUAUGGCCUCAGAUGACCAAGAUAAAAGAACUUUUAUCAGUAAGGAGGGGUUGUUCUGUUAUCAAGUUAUGCCUUUCAGCCUAAAGAAUGUAGGUGCGACCUAUCAACGGCUUAUGAAUAGAGUUUUAGAGAACAUAUUAGAUACAAUAUUGACAUCUACAUUGAUGAUAUGUUGGUGAAGGGUACAACUAUGAGAGAACAUGUGUAGAAUUUGGCAAAAGCGUUCGCUAUUUUGAGGGCUCACAACGUGAAGUUGAAACCAGAGAAGUGCACUUUCGGUGUGCCAGCUGGCAAAUUUUUGGGUUUUGUAAUUUUAGAGAGGGGAUAGAGGUGAACUAAGAGAAAAUAUGUGCUAUCUUAGAUAUUCCUACAAACGAUUAAAAAUAUUCAGCGUCUAACAAGGUGAGUGGUGGCACUUAACAGGUUCAUUUCCAAAAUGACAGAUAAGUGUUUACCUGUUUUCAAAGCUUUGAGGACUUCUUUCUCAUAGACCGAAGAGUGCUAGGAAUCUUUUGAUAAAUUCAAAUUGUAUCUUACCUCCCCUCCACUAUUGAUGUCGCCAAGCGUAGGUGAAACUUUUUUUGUUUAUCUGGUGACCUCAGAUGAGACCAUGGUUGCGGUUUUGGUUAGGGAAGAUGGGGCUCGCCAGUUUCCAAUCUAUUAUGUGAGUAAGGUGUUUUAGGGUGGAGAACAGAGGUAUGUGAAGAUAGAGAGGAUUAUCUUCCCUCUGAUCAUGGUAGCUUACAAGUUACGACCUUUUUUCCAAGCUCAUCCCAUCACGGUUUUGACAAGCCAGCCCAUUAAGGGUGUGCUGUAUAAAGCAGACGCCUCUAGGAGAAUAACGAAGUGGAGCAUCAAGUUGGUUGAUAUUGGCAUGCAAUAUGCCUCCAGAACAACAGUAAAAAGCUAGAUUUUAGCAGAUUUUAUAAUGGAAUGCUCUUUUCAGCAGACAGUUGACCUCGUAGGUAACUUAUUGAUCAUGAUAUUAACUUGUGAACAUUAAUAUGUCCUUUUAACAUUUAAUAAAUGCAUAUGACAUACCAUUAUAUCUUAUUGUACAUAUUUAACUGAUCCAAUAUGUUUUUGAUAAUUUUUAAUAAAUACAUGUUUUUCUCUAUGCCUUUUCAUACCCAUUGUGUUGGACAUAGUAGUUACUCUACCACAGGGGGAAGCGAGCUGAAUAAGUGUCGGAGGAGAUGGACAAUUUAUGUUUAUGGUUCUACAACAAAAAUAGGAUAUGGGGCAAAAGUUUUGUUAAUUGAUCCUGAUAAAAAUGAGUGGGAAUAUGAGAUAUCUCUCGGCUUUCAAGCAUCCAACAACGUUGUAGAAUAUGAGACUUUGAUAUCCGAAUUGUAGUUGGCUCACCAACUUGGAGCAAGUGAGCUGAUCAUUUACACUGAUUCUAAACUGAUCGCAGAGUAGAUGAACAGAGAGUAUAAGGUAAAAGAGUUGACAUUAAAAAAAUACCAUGACAUGGCUGCUCGAUUGCUUAUUGAGUUCGGUGAAGUGCACAUUCGACAGUUGCCAAGAAAAGACAAUGCACACGCAUAUGAUCUUUCAAGGUUGGCAUCGUCCCUCAUUAUUGAACAAAGGGGGAAAAUACUGUUAGAGUAUAGGAAAGUCCAAAGUUAUGAUAUUGCACAAGUAUAUAACCUAAAUUGUGAGGAAAAUUGGAUGACUCUAAUCAUGCAGACAUUACAAGGUGAGGAUGCUCAACUGGACAAGAGAGUUUGACAAGCUCCGACCCAAAGUCAUGAGAUAUACCCUAUUAAAGGGUGUACUCAAUAGAAAGGGAUACUCUCAGCCAUUGUUGUAAUGCAUGUCAUCUACAAAAGCUGAGUAUGUGAUGCGUGAAAUAUACAAAGGAAUUUUUUAUGAUCAUUUGGAGGUAGACUCCUUGUAAAAAAAGUCUUUAGACAGGGGUAUUACUGGCCUACUGUACAAAAGGAUGCACACCAUAUGGUCUGUACUUGUGGCUCCUCUUGAAGGCAUGAUUAGAUACAACGGCAACUAAUAGAGCCCUUGUAAAUCAUGUCGAACACUUGGCCGUUUGCAACCUAGGGAAUUGAUAUCAUUUGUCCAUUCCCUAUAGCUACAACUCAAAAGAAGUUCAUAGUAGUAACUGUAGACUAUUUCACUAAGUGGAUAGAAGUGAAAGCGUUGAUGACUAUCAUGGAAAAACAAAUGGAAUCUUUUCUCUAGAAUUCAAAUGUGUGCAGGUUUGGCAUACUGCGCUUGAUCAUAACGGAUAAUGGUAUGCAAUUUCAGGGAAAAUUUAAGAAUUUCUACAAGGAUUUAUAGAUUGCCUUAGCUCAAAGUUCUAUCAAAAUGCCACAAACAAACAACCAUCUUGAGGUAAUUAACAAAAAGAUUCUAACAGCCUUAAAGAAGAAGCUUGAUGACGUAAAGAGUGCAUAGUUGGAAGAGCUACCAAGAAUCCUAUGGGUUUUGCAAACUUUACCUCACACUAAAAUGGGAGAAACAACUUUCUCGCUUGUCUAUGGCAUGGAGGCAGUUAUUCCCGCUGAAAUAGGCUUACGACCAUAUAGGAUAGCUCACUUCGAUGAAGCUGCGAAUCAAGAGGUGAUGACAUCCAAUUUAGACCUUACAGAGGAAGCAAGAGAAGUAGUAGAAGUUAGAAACGUAACAAGUGCUUAGCAGGUAGCUAGCUAUUAUAAUUCCAAGGUAAAAAGUAAACAGUUUCGAGUAGAUGACCUGGUAUUGAGGAAUACUGAAGAAAGUUUCCUUGCAUCGCAACAACUCAAGAUGGCACCCAAUUAGGAGGGACCCUAUAGGGUUGUACAGAAAAUAGGAUACGGAGCGUACAAGUUACCAAAAAUGGAAGGCACUGUCUUACCACGGACUUGAAGUGCUCAUCAUUUGAAAAAGUACUGUGUAUAGUCUCCUACUCUUUAAUGCAAAAUGUUAUUUAUAGGUAUCUGUACUUAAGUUAUUUGUUUAUCGACACAGCUCAUGGACCUACGUUCCCAGCUGAUGUUUAAAACUUAUCUGAGAUUCUCACAACCUUUAUCUAUUUGAGUUAGUGGCUCCAGAAUCAAUAACCCAAUUUUCAAUUGAUUCUUCCACUAAGCAAGCUUUAACCACAAAGAGUUUCAUACCUUUGCCCUUUUCAGCUAGGUGAUCCAAGUACUCCUUUCAGUUUGAUUUGAAAUGACCUUUCAUGUUGUAGAAGAAAAUUUUGAUCUUUUUAGGAUCUUUUGACUUCUUAACCUUCUUUCUAUCUACACGAAGUGGAAUUGAAGACUUAGUUGGUUUCUUCUUUCCCUUAGCUUUCUGUUUCCCCUUAGAGGAUGAGGGGCCCAUAGCUAAGUUUGCAUCAGGUUUCUCCUGAACCAGUUUACCACCAUUCAGCAUCAACUCAUAAGAUUGUAAUUCCUUCAUGAGCUGAGUCAAGGUAAGCGCCUUGUUCCCCAAGUUGUAAGCGGCCCUAAAACCAACAAACUCAUUGGUUAAGGAUUUGAACACUAUUUCAAUUUGUAUGUUCACGUCUAAUUCAGCCCCACUGCCCUCCGCUUCCGCAAAGAAUCCUAUAAGCUUAAACAUAUGUUCUUUGAUCAGAGUGUCAAUUUUCUGUUGAGAAUUCAUCAAAUUUGUAAUAGUGGAUUGUUGAGUCAAUACGACUUGGCCUCCGAGAAAAUCCUCCAAAUUUGUUAUGAUCUCUUUGGCAAUACGAAAAUUCUCAUGUUGCUUUUGCAACACACUACUCAUACUCGCUAGCAUAUAACAUCAAGCAAUCGAGUUAGAAUCUCUCCAGUGAUUUCUUGCUUUGGGCUGAGCUUCAGGAGGGUACGUUUUGUUAAGAACGAAUUUAUGUUUCUCAUAGCUGAGAACUAUCAGUAAGUUCCGUUUCCAUUCUCGAACGUUACCCUCAUUUAAUUUAUUCUCAAUAAGAAUGCUAAUAAGAGGAGUAGGAGACAUAUUUGAAUUGAAAAAAAAAAUAAAGAUUCACUAAUUAGUAUCUUUGUAUUAAGCAAAUAUUUUUCAUUUCAGCAACAUAUCAAGAAUGCAAUAUGAUACAUGGGUCUUGUAUUACAACCUUAAAAAAAAUUCCGUUGCUACGAUCAUUCUCACACCCAUCAACCAUAUCGCAUUGGGGUCUCAUGAUUAACUAGUAAGAAGAUGGAUUACAUCCAAUCAGUUCAUGAAUAUUAAUUCUCAAGAAUCCACACGAACUAACGACCGUUUAACUUUUGGCCAUCAUCUCUACCUAAAUAUCGUUUCUUGGAGAACUAUUUAAUAAAAGAUGAUCUUAAGUGUGUAACCAUUGACUCAACACCCAUCAUGAACAUGAUCUUAUUUGUGAUUCAUCUUGGGAAAAUCUCUCUGAAAGUCAUGCAUGACUAGUUUUCCUCAAAAGGAAAUCUCAUCUAAUGAACCCACAUGACAAAGUUUACCUUGGGUGCGGCCAGGGUAGGACCCUACUCAAAAAUUUAUCAUACUAUCACUUAGGGACCAUCAAUGGAGGUCGUAGGUAUUGUUCAAGGACCUUCUCCCACUCAAAAUUUUAAAAACAAGCAAGGUUCAAGUCCUAUAUUCAUUUCUAACUCACAAUAAUUCUAUGAAUUUUUUAAAAAAAAUAGCCCCACGUGGAGAUGAUAGUCCACGGUCUAUUUCCUAAUAACCACAACCUCUACAAAAAAAACAAUUAUAUAAAAAAUAUAUAAUAUCGUAUCCAUUCUCAUAUAUAACUCAAAACAUUCAUAAAAUCUAAAGAAUGUCACUUUCUAUGUAAUCAAAUCAUUCAAGAAGAAGAGAAAUUUAUUUUGAUUAUCUGUUUAUACUUAUAGGUAGAACACAAUCUAGCUCUGAAACCAAUUAUUAGAAAAACGGGUUUGGAAAGCAUAACAGAAAAUAAGUUCAGGGAAAAAUCAAAGUUUUAACAAUUUUUUCCAAAACAAGAUAUUAGUUGUGAUAUCUAAAGUAAUAAAUACUUAAUCAAAAUUGUACCUUUUCGAUUCGUUGAGGAUGAGCGCUUCGAUCAACUAGUCUUCUCCGCUAUCCUCAAGCUCACGUUGCGAUAAUUUUGUAAUUUCUCUAAACUUUUGGGUCAAGUUGUAAAUAAAAAAAUAUCUCUAGAAAUUUUUUGGAAUAAUCUCUUUAGAGAAUUUUCUCUCUACAACUUUUUCUUGAAUUCAAGUGUGUGUAAAUAAUGACCCGAUGCUCUCUUUAUAUGGGGAGACUUUAGAGAGUUCAACUAUGAUUAAACUUAAUCACUUUAAUAUUAAAUUUAAUCUAAUAUUUAUCUGAUAAAUAUUAGAUUAAAUUUAAUAUUAAGUCUUAUUAAAAUAAUAAAAUGUUUAUCUACAAUAUAAACAUUAAAUUGAAUUUAAUAUUAAGAUAAUCACUUUAAUAUUAAAUUAAUAAAAUGCUAUUAAUAUAAGUAUUAAAUUAAAUUUAAUAUUAAACUAUUAUUAUUUUUGGAAUAGUUAAUUUGAAAUCAAAUACUCUGGUAGAGUCCUAGUAAGAGUAUCACUCUUCCACUGCUCAACCACCGACGAUCAAUCACCAUAGGCCACGAGGGCACCGCCGUGGCAGCCAUCAGCACCGUCGUGUCUGGUGAUGCAGGUACGACACCCUUACAGCACCCCGAGCCGGUUCGGGUGCCACCAGUUCGAUCCGAGUCAAUAACGACCCGACCGAUUCAAUCUAGCCAUCGGUUGGACUGUCGGCCCGAUUUUUUGAAAUUAAAUUAUUUCUAAAGUCGUAGAAUUUUUUUCUAAUUCAAAUGCAGUUCAAUUGAGCAUUUGUUAAGCUAGCGGAGGGACCAAUCGGACAUAUACAAUUAGGCUCUAGUUAUUGUAAUUAUGUCAACAAGUAUCGUUCCAAUAAUUCGCAAUUACUUAAUCAUGGAGUUAGUCCACAAUAAGUAUCAUGAUUGAAAACUCCUUAUUGUAUACUCUUUACAAAAGUAAUUCGUCCAACUGCUUUGUCCAAUGAACUCGUCAUGUGUGUGUUACCCUCAAUUGAUAUCCUUGAUUCCUUUGAGUUAAAUCCGUUCACUCAAUACAAUCUUAUUUUAUUCCAUUGUCACCAUUGUGUCUUCUUAAUAAUUAAUAUGACCACUGUCAACAAUUGACUAUGAUGAAUUGCUCAUUUGAAAAUGAGCAACUUGUGGCCACGUUCCAUAUUUAUCAAUCCACACAAUGCCAAUCAGAGGAUAUCAUUAACUCUUUAAUUGAGUUAUGAAUUCCACUGUUUCUAGUAAAGUCAUGCCAUACACAAGUCAUGUACCCAACAUACUGGCUGUGGGCUCGAUCAUCUUCAGAGAAUAAGCCUCCACUUAUAUCAAAGCACAUGAGUUGCAUACGCAUGGCCAUGACAAACUCAGGAUUUAGGUAAAUCACACCAUGAACGUUACAAGUGAAAUAAUUCACAAAUGGGUUCAGAAUUAAUUCAUCUUAGGUCUAGUCUAAUGUAUCAUUCUACCAAUGAAUACAUCUAAGUCUCUACUCGUGGAGUCAACUGCUCCAAUAGUCAAGACUAGUCAUAUCCCUAAUUGAAAUUCUAGGCGACAUAAUAAUCCUUCUCAGUAUUUGAAUCAAAUGCUCACUUUGAUUCUUUUACGGGAUUACGAACUCAUUUAGAUUAUCUACUGAAGUAAGCUGUAUUUCUCGCAUUGUCAACGUUCUUUACAAUGGCACUUAUCUUCAGUUUGAACUUUAGACAAUCAAUAAGCUAAUAUUUGCUUGUCACAAUUUCGCUAAGCAUGCAAAAUAUAAAAGACAUAAUAGUGAAAUGUGAAAUUAACUUUAUUUAUUUAUUCAUCAGUGAAAUACGUAGAAAACAGUUACAUGUUUAAUACAAUAUGGGGACAUUUCCCAAUAGCAACCAUAAUAGCAGAAGGUCCAGUGUGGUUUGUCUUCUUUUUUCAAUGUUGUUCUAAUCUCGCACUAUAUUCUUCCUCCUCGCUACUUAGCACAACAUUAGCAACCCCUGUGUUAGUCUUGUGCUUCUUGCACAUAUCCAACAUAAAAGCUCACAUGCUCAUGUAUUCGUCGAUUUCGCGUGAUAAACUAGUAGACUCCUUUGAAUUGUCUUCAGCAUCGCGAGCUAUGCCUGUACCACUAACAAUUCUAAUAUCAUUAGUAAUAGUAAGCAAGUUAGGGUUCGUAACCAAGGGCGAGGCUUCAUUUUACAGAAACUAUAGAAGUAAUUUCUUGGUUCUUCUUUGUAUCCCAACAGUAUUAGUCCCAGGUCAUCUUUGGCCCCAGACGGCCACCUGAACCUCUCAGAAUGCACCCUAAUUGCAUUAGCUACUUCAUUAUUAUCACCCUGUUUCCAUCGGUUGGGGCUGAAGUUUUCGAGGAAGUGUUGGAAUACAUUCGUCACGGUUAAGACAUCCUCCAAAUUUAGAAUACAGCCUUUGCGAAGCCUCUCAAAUUGCACUCAACCUUUUCUAUCAUAAUGUUUCGCUGAGUUAAACACACAUCCUUACUUGGCAAGGACCAUUCAGUGGGAAAACCAAAACCAUCAGUAAGUUUACACUUUACCCGAAUAUACUUACUCUGAUUCAAACGGAGGUUGGAGCACUUAUUAGAAAUUAUAGAUUCUAUGCCUUCGCGAGGAGUGAAGUAGCAUAGACCUGAUGACCUUCCUCGAUUGUGGGCCUUCAGUUGGUACAGACGUUGAAAAAUAACAAGCAGUGGCACCUUAUCGCGUUGACAACAAUCGAGGAAAUAAGCUAUCGCAAUCCACCAGGGGAACCCAGAUAACUGUUCAGGGGGCGAUCUUAUAAUCCUCAAGUAAGUGGCAGAAGAAACUGUGUAGAGGUAGGUGGAAUCCGACCUCUAUUACAUGGAGGGGGAGUAUAAAAAUAUCGUCGUUGGUAUCGCUAAGUCGAUACGAUCCUACAGGAAUAGAAAAGUCGUACACAAAAUUGGGAACUUUAAUUUCUCACACAGCUAAGGCUCGAAACAUGUCUUUAGUCUUUAUAGUGCAGACAUAGGAAUUAACCUCAACAGGAACCCCCGAAAUUGAUCGGAACUGGGCAGUGCACUAUGUUUUGGCAAGUACGACUAGAAUUGAUUGGAGUGAGUUGGUGCAACUGGUAUGGACCAAAAUUUUCACCAGUGCAGAAAAAAUGGUGUUGGGUGUUUCGCAAUGUUAUUGAAACCGAACUGAAUAGACCGAGAAAUUAACCCGAGAACUAGAGUAAACUGUAAUUAAAUCGCAAAUUGUUGACCGGUUGAACCAGUUAAACCUGUAUUUUCACAUUUUCUAAACUGGAAAAACAAAAAUUUCAUCCCAAAUCCCUUAAGCUUUUGUUACACUUCAUCUCUACACUCAAUGAAAUUAAACACAGCAUAAAAAAAUAAGCACCACUUCUUUUCUUACUUUCUCUACUAAAAUAAGCUCUCUUUUUUUUUUGGUAAAAACCCUAAGUUGGACUUAUAACAUUCAAUCAAUCAAACGAAAAAAAGAAAAAUUAGGAAAGAUGAAAGAUGGGAAAUGGUAGGUGGCAUCUUUAUAUCAGCAGUCGCAUCUUCUCGAUGUAUGGCUGCUCACUAUCUUGGCUGCAUUUAUCGUUUUAUUCUUUUCUUAAUUAGCCAAACUCAUGUUAACAAUGGUAUAACAGUAAUUAAUUACUUCAUGGAUAAAACAUCAAUAUAUAAAUACCCCAUAUAUAAUAAGCAAUAACGUAUCAAAAUAUAACAAAUAAUGGGAAUUGAAGAACUCCCGUUUAUACAAACGAAUAUAUGUGGAAGAAAUCAACACUCAUAAUUAAGACACAAAGACGACUAAAAAACUUAUUAAACCAGAUCCAGUAUGCAGCAGAUAGAAAAAAGGGGGGUAUUUCAACGAGUAGAAGGAGAAGGUGGUGGAGAAAAGAAAGGAAUAGAGGGAACUGCAGUUGGGAUUGUGGGGACUAAGGGAAUGCUUGGCAGAGGGGCCAGUCCUCUUGGAAAUGUGGUAGGAAGUGGAGGAAGCACCCCAGGAUUUGGGAGAUUAGUGAAAGAUGGCAAUGGUGGAGAAGAGAAAGGAAUAGGGGGAAUUGCAGUUGGGAUUGUGGAGACUGAGGGAAUGCUUGGCAGAGGGGGUAGUCCUGUUGGCAAUGUGGUCGGAAGUGGAGGAAGCGCCCCGGGCCAUGGGAAUGAUGGUCGGGAUGGCGUUGGGAGAUUAGGGAAAGAUGGCAAACUUUGUGUUUGAGGCUGCUGCAGAAG